rnacentral:lncRNA from 1 species
GUUGGGGGCAGUAGUGUUCGCUCUCAAGAUUUGGCGUCACUACUUGUAUGGGGUUCGAUGUACGAUAUACACGGACCAUAAGAGCUUGAAGUAUUUGAUGGAUCAGCCCAACCUAAAUAUGCGUCAGAGGAGGUGGUUGGAUGUGGUCAAGGAUUAUGAUUGUGAGAUCCUGUACCACCCAGGCAAGGCUAAUGUGGUAGCCGAUGCAUUGAGCCGCAGGGCGGAGAGCACUCCACUGCGAGAUGUAUGUUUGAGAUUGACUGUGAUGGCUCCAGUAUUGGAUGCUAUUCGUGGGGCACAGGCCGAGGCUGUGCGACCAGAGAUGCAGAAGAGAGAGCGGGUCGUUGGUUUGGUUUCAGAGUUCGUUACGGAUGGACGAGGGCUUAUGACGUUUCAGGGUCGGAUUUGGGUACCGUUCGUGGGUGGUACGCGUAUUACUUUGAUGGAAGAGGCUCAUCGAUCGAAAUUCUCGAUCCAUCCCGGGGCUACGAAGAUGUAUUUGGAUUUGAGGAAAGAGUAUUGGUGGCCCUGUAUGAAGAGGGACGUCGCAUGGUUCGUUGAGAGGUGCUUGACCUGCCGUAGGGUUAAGGCCGAGCACCAGAGACCGCAUGGCAAGUUACAGCCAUUGGAGAUCCCCGAGUGGAAGUGGGAACAGAUCACUAUGGAUUUCAUCACCAAAUUGCCGAGGACUGCCAGGGGAGUUGAUGCAAUUUGGGUGAUUGUGGAUAGGUUGACGAAGAGUGCACACUUCCUUGCCAUCAGCGAGAGUUCUUCAGCGGAGAAGUUGGCGGAGAUAUAUGUGAGAGAAGUGGUAUCUCGGCAUGGGGUGCCGAUCUCGAUUGUUUCAGACCGUGAUGUGCGCUUCACUUCCAGAUUCUGGAAGAAAUUCCAUGAGGAGCUGGGUACUAAAUUGCAUUUUAGUACCGCAUACCAUCCCCAGACAGACGGUCAGAGCGAGCGAACGAUUCAGACGCUGGAGGACAUGCUUCGAGCGUGUGUGUUAGACUUCGGGGGUAGCUGGGAUGCGUAUUUACCCUUGGCAGAGUUUUCCUACAACAACAGCCAUCAUUCGAGCAUUGGUAUGCCACCCUUUGAGCUGUUGUAUGGUAGGAGGUGUCGGACCCCCAUUUGCUGGGGAGAGGUGGGACAGAGAGUGAUGGGCAGUACAGAGAUCGUGCUUCAGACGACAGAGCAGAUUCAGCAGGUUAGACAGAGGUUAUUGACCGCCCAGAGCCGACAGAAGAGUUAUGCAGACAGACGCCGAUCCGAGCUUGAGUUUCAAGUCGGCGACUUCGUUCUCCUGAAGGUCUCUCCUUGGAAAGGAGUGAUUCGAUUCAGGAAGAGGGGCAAGUUGGGGCCCCGGUAUAUUGGGCCAUUUCGUGUGAUUGCAAGGAUAGGCCGGGUAGCCUAUCGGUUGGAGUUGCCAGCGGAGUUGGGACAGAUCCACGACACCUUUCAUGUGUCGCAAUUGAGGAAGUGCAUAGCCGAUGAGUCGGCAGUGGUUCCAUUAGAGGAUAUUCAGGUGGAUGCGAGCCUGAAUUAUGCCGAGAGACCAGUGGCCAUCAGGGAUCGGAAGAUCAAGGUUCUGAGGAACAAGGAGGUACCUCUGGUGUUGGUUCAGUGGCAACACCGGAAGGGAUCAGAAAUGACUUGGGAGCCGGAGCGUGAGAUGCGGGAGCAGCAUCCGGAGCUAUUUUCAGAGUGAGACUUCGAGGGAGAAGUCUAGUCCUAGUGAGGGAGAGUUGUAACAGCCCGGAAUUUCAGGUAUUGUGAAAAUUAUGUUUUUGGGGUGUUUUAAGAGGGGACUCGGCGAGUUGGAGCCUAGACUCGCCGAGUAGGAUCGCAGACCUGGUCACGGGUUCGCGACUGGACUCGGCGAGUCUGCGCUGUUUAGCGAAAACCCUAACCGUUCAGGUUUAGGACGUAUAAGAGGGACUUAUUGGCCGUCAUUGUUCAUUUUAGCCUUCUGAGAAAAACCCUAAAUCGAUUGUGUGCAUUUGGAGCAAGGUUAUAGGCCAUUGUUGAUUUUAGAGGAGUUGUUGUGCAAGGAAGAGAAGGGCUUGGCUAAGGGAACAGCAAGGGAGUCACGUUCUGAGGAUUGGGGACACAGUGAGUACAUCAUCCAGGGAGAUUGUAGCUCGGCGGAUCGAGCACGAGUAAUCUCAGGAUUUUCUUGCUUUCAGUAUUCACGAGGUGAGUCUUCUCACUAUACUGUACCCGGAAGGGUUUGACUGUGUGACCGGAAGGUCAGGUAUGAUAUGUGAUAUGUGUGCUAUAUGCAGUAAGUUAUUUGCUAUACGUGCUAUGUAUGUUAUGGGCCGGAAGGCGAUUAUGUUAUGGGCCGGAAGGCAUUAUGUUAUGGGCCGGAAGGCGAUUAUAUUAUGGGCCGGAAGGCGUUGUGUUAUGGACCGGAAGGUCGGCGUGGGUAGGGACGGAAGGGUUACCCNGUAGGACCGGAAGGUUUACCCAGCAGGGACGGAAGUCCCCUGAGACACAUGGACCGGAAGGGCAGGGCCUGGAAAGGCGUAUGUGCGUAAGUUGUAUAUUGGGGAGCUCACUAAGCAUUUAUGCUUACAGAUGUUAUGUAUGUGUUUCAGGUACUAGCGAGGACCGUGGGAAGGCGCCGGUGUGAUCUGUACACACUGAAGGAUGUUUUUAUGGUCUUGGGAUUUAGACAAUUUGUAUUUGACAUGAUACUUAAAUCAUUUAUGCCUUGUUUUGAAUGGACAAUACUUUAUUUUUAAAAUGAAAAAUUUGUUUGAAAAUUUGCGUUGUUACAGGAUCGCUAUCAUGAACGAUACUUGAUUAAAAGGUACUAUCUUUGUAUCCUUAACACCUGAGAUACAUAGUGGGACUUAAGUGUAGGGAGUACUAUGCUUUGAUAAUGUUCAAAUGUUGUUCCUUAACCGGGCAAUUAUAAAAGCCAUUUUCAGGUAUGGUGAGAACUAUGCAAGAGGCUUAUAUAGUCAAAUACAUAUAUGAAAAUCCUAACCUGGAACUAAAAAAAUGAAACCGGAAACGAAAUCAAAUGCUAACCUACAACUUAAAUUUAACAAAAGAUUAAAUAUGGUGAUGCCUGGAUACACAACGACGAGAUUGUCCGAUAUUGAUUCAUUAGAUGAUGGCAGAGGCAAUUUAGGGCUUGGACUUUGACUCUUCAGGUGAAGUCGUUAGUGGUGAUGAAAUCAUAACCCUCAUCAUUACAGAAGCAAAUCGAUUGACCUAGGGCAUAUUCUUCAUGAUUACAUCUGAUAAUGCAUAGAGACCAUGACGAUGAAGUAAAAUCAAACCCUCAUCUUAAAAUAAAAAACCACCGGUAGUAAUGAAGAAGGUAAUGAAAUGCAUGGCAGAUUCUUGAGGAUUACAUCUUGUGGUGGAUGUAUGUGGGUUUUUUUACAACAUUGGAUGGUGUGAGUUUUUUACGGUGGUGGAUGGUUAUAGGUUAUUCAAUGGAGACGAUGCCUGAUGUGGAUGAAAUCUAUUGUACGGACGUGUGUUGAUAGUUUUAUUAUAUGAGAAUGACUAAGAGAAUAGUUUGUUUGGUAAUGUGAAUACGUUCAACCUCACAUAAAAAUUGUCAUUAUCAUGCAUUCUUACUAAUUCUUAUUCAUUUUGGUUCUCAAACAUAGUUUUUUACACAUUCUCAUUCUUACAUAAUGCGAUUAUCAAGAACACAUUUUGACAUAAUGGUAAUCAUAAAAAUAGUCUAUAAUUCCCUUUUAGAUGAUUUAAUUGGUGAAAAUGUGUAAUUAAUACUUUUGUAAGGUUGAGAACAAACAUGGAAAUUUAAUAUAUAUAUAUAUAUAUAUAUAUAUAUAUAUAUAUAUAUAUAUCUUUCUCUCUCNNNNNNNNNNNNNNNNNNNNNNNNNNNNNNNNNNNNNNNNNNNAGUUUUUUAUAAUAAAAAAAAACCCAAAACCAAUUCUCCAAAAAUCAUAAAAAAUUAAGGGAUACUUCUAUUCAAUAUACUAGUGACUUUGUAAAAAGAAUUUUUCAAAAAUAAUGUUUUGAAGUAUUUAAUUUUAGUUUUAAAAAAUAUUAGUUUUUUUUUUAAAUAUUGAACAUAAUAUUAUCCAAAAUAUGAUGAUUCAAAAUAUUUAUAACUCAAAAAACUUAUAAUUCAACUUUUUUAUGAUCCAUAAUUUGUUAUUAUCUAAAAAUAUUUAGACUCAAAUAUUGUAUAAUCCUUCAGUAUAUCUUUUAUGAUUGAAAAUUAGAUAAUUCAAAAUAUAUAAUGAUCCAUAAUUUUAUUUGAACUAAAGCUAUAUUUAAUUGAACAUGUUUCUGAUCCAAUUUCAUAUGAUUCAAAAAUUAUCUGAUUCAAAAUAAUACGAUCUAAAAUAAUUUGAUUAAAAAUUUAUGAAAAAAAACUAAUAUAAUUAAAAAAAAGUAUGAACGGAAAGGAUUAUGAUCCAUAAUAUUCUUCUAAAAAUAUAAUUGUUAGACAUAAAAAAUUCAAACUAAUACUUAGUGUAAAAAAUAAAAAAAAUUAAAGAAAAAUAUUACUACCUUCAAAUAUGUAGUACAGAUACUAAAAAACAUAAAAAAAGAAAAAAAUAAUAACUCUUUAAACAAAACAAAAAAUAUAUAAAAAAAAACUAUAAAAAUAAUAAAAACAAAAAAACGUCAAAAUCGAGUAUAUAUCUACUAAAAAAUUUGAACUCUUUUUAGCAAAAAAUUUAAAAAAUUAAAAAAAAAUGAAAAUAAACAACAAUAAACGAAAAUAAAUAAUAAAACUCACUUAAAUGGCGUUCGAUAGACGUUCGCAGCAUGUGAUUAAAUCCUUGAGGUUGUAUUAAUUAUCAGAGACAUGAGUCGCAUGCUAACUCACCAAGACAAAGUAUUUGGGUUUGACGUUUAUUUCCUUUAUGAAAUGGAUGUUGGAGAAUUGUCAUCGUAGUUUUCACCAUUUUUUGAGUAGUCAUCGUAACCAGAUUAUNNNNNNNNNNNNNNNNNNNNNNNNNNNNNNNNNNNNNNNNNNNNNNNNNNNNNNNNNNNNNNNNNNNNNNNNNNNNNNNNNNNNNNNNNNNNNNNNNNNNNNNNNNNNNNNNNNNNNNNNNNNNNNNNNNNNNNNNNNNNNNNNNNNNNNNNNNNNNNNNNNNNNNNNNNNNNNNNNNNNNNNNNNNNNNNNNNNNNNNNNNNNNNNNNNNNNNNNNNNNNNNNNNNNNNNNNNNNNNNNNNNNNNNNNNNNNNNNNNNNNNNNNNNNNNNNNNNNNNNNNNNNNNNNNNNNNNNNNNNNNNNNNNNNNNNNNNNNNNNNNNNNNNNNNNNNNNNNNNNNNNNNNNNNNNNNNNNNNNNNNNNNNNNNNNNNNNNNNNNNNNNNNNNNNNNNNNNNNNNNNNNNNNNNNNNNNNNNNNNNNNNNNNNNNNNNNNNNNNNNNNNNNNNNNNNNNNNNNNNNNNNNNNNNNNNNNNNNNNNNNNNNNNNNNNNNNNNNNNNNNNNNNNNNNNNNNNNNNNNNNNNNNNNNNNNNNNNNNNNNNNNNNNNNNNNNNNNNNNNNNNNNNNNNNNNNNNNNNNNNNNNNNNNNNNNNNNNNNNNNNNNNNNNNNNNNNNNNNNNNNNNNNNNNNNNNNNNNNNNNNNNNNNNNNNNNNNNNNNNNNNNNNNNNNNNNNNNNNNNNNNNNNNNNNNNNNNNNNNNNNNNNNNNNNNNNNNNNNNNNNNNNNNNNNNNNNNNNNNNNNNNNNNNNNNNNNNNNNGGUAAGACCCAUGUGUUAUAUGGGUUAAUUAAAAAAACUUAAUCAUAAAGUUCAAAAUAUUUAAGAACUUUGGAUUUAUAUGAAAAUAAGAAAAAUAUGAAUUACUAAAACUGAUUUUUUUUGUAUUUUAAAUUUAAAUAAUUUAAUGAGCUUUAAUAUGGAAAAUUUGAAAUAAGAAAUUAAGACCAUUAAUGAAAUUGAUAUUUAUUUAUUAUUACCUAGAGUGUUCCACCAACGAACGGCUCCACCUCGGAACUGACGCACGACAUAGAUAGUCUGCAACUUACCUCUGCAGCCACAAGUCAUAAAGGCCAAUUCCAUUUCGGAGAUCCAAUCCAUAACCCCAAUCGGAUCCUCCUUUCCAUUGAAGGUCGAUGGUUUGCAAGUUAGAAAGUCCUUGUACUUGCAUCCCAUUCCAUCAUUCCUUCCAUCAUGGUUAUCUUGCCUAACUAUCGGUGGGUUGGCUUGACCAAUAGACCCACUGAAGUUUCCACCUUCCGAGUGCCCUUCAUUUAAUUCAGGCUCCUCCACACGAAUUGACAGUUCUUCACGAUUCUGUUGAAGCAACUUUCUAGUUUCAUCCAUCUGAUGAUCCAACAUCGUCUGAAUCAUCAUUUGCACACCAGCCAUGGUUAUUGGCUCAGGUGUUGCUGCUACGACAGGUACUUGUUCAAUCACUGGUGGUUGAUUCCUGUUUUCAUCAGCAUUUCCAACUCCACUUCUGGUUCUCACCAUUUUGAUCUACACACCGAAUAAGGUGAAAUUAGAUCCUCAAUCAUGAUAGAUAUUCAAAUCUUCCUUACCAUUCUGAAACGUUUACAUGCUAGUUCUAAUAUCGUAGACGUACGCUUAGAAUCCUACACACAUAAGGUUUGUAGAUCCGGUCGGCAACAGACCAUAGAUCCGAACAAAUAAUAUCAUAUAUGGCAACAUAUAACAUUUAACACAUAAAAGCAUUUUAGGGAAUUUCCUAAAAUAAACUAGUGCUCGUGUCUAAAACACAACAGACACACAUCUCAAAACUUCACUUAGCAUUCUAAGUUUAAGUCUAGAAAUCCUACAAAUUCCUAGUUCGCUUAAACUAAUGCUCUGAUACCAACUGUGACAUCCCCAAAAUCUCGGCCAGAAAAGACCGAUUUUCAUUUAUGCUUUUAAAUAUUUUCAGAGUAAAUCCUUUUGAUUUGAAAGAGUUGCGGAAUUUGUUCCCAAAAACAAAACAUGAUAAAACAUUGUUUACCGAAGCAUUUCAUAAAAGAAAUGUAUUUUCAUUAUAAUCAAAACUCGGGGUGUCAUGUUCCGAUACAGACCAAUAAGCAUAAACGAAUACAUUACAAGUCAUAUAACAAAUAUAAACAUAUGCAGACUUGUAAACAAAACAACUUGAUGGUUCAUCCAUCUCAUGCCCUUCCGCCACUUCCUGUAAUACAAUUUAAAACUGAGUGGGUCAGGCUUGGGAGCCUGGUGAGCAUAUAGGGUUUUCAACCCACAAUAAAUAUCAUAUUUAAUUUUCACCAACCAACAAUAACCCAAUUACCCAUUCCCGUUAUUCUCACUUUAAUGUCCCUAAAACAACUAACAUAAGGGACCUAGUCUAAGAAUAUUUCAUCGGGGCGACAACACAUGCUUCGGGGGUACCUCAGCAAUAUAAGUCAAAUAAGGCAACCAUGAGGGGGAUGGAGUACAGCGAAUGAACACCCAAGUUCAUUAACACCUACAGGUGGCGAACCUGCUAAUGUUUCCACAAGACUAUCUAGAAAAGUCUGUGGUCGUCAUCUAAACUCCGCUAGAUGACUAAAUCAAACAACAACGAGGCCUCUCAUCUGUUUAUUACACACCAACUAUCUACCCAUGUUCUACCCAACAUAUUAGUAGAUAAAAAUAUACAUUUUUAUACAUAGUUUAAAAACCUGUAUAGCAUGCUUUAAUCAAUACAUAUUCCACAUAACAGAUGAGGCACACACACACAUAACACGUAUUUCAUAGAGAAUAAAUCAUAUCUAUGAGAUAGAAGAAAGUGAAUACACAUUCACACAUAUAAACAACAAUAUACUUAAUACACUCAAACCAUACUUGUAUUAUUAUCGUGUUUAUGAAAGGUAGUAUACACUCACUUGAUCAGAAGAUGAUCGGACAGCACUACGACUUGCAGAAGUAGUAAUCCUCAGCAGAUCUGAAAGAUCUUCACAAAAAUCGAACUUCUCGCGGGCAGAGCUUCGGCUCGGGAACCGCACUUCUCGGGAUCUUCGGGAUCUCGGGACUUGCCUCGGGGCUCGAGAAUAAUACCGGGGCUUCGGGAUAUUUCUGGCACGCAAAUCGAUGCAAAACGGGAGAGAGAAGAGAGAAAAUAGCAAAAGAACUCGGCUGCCCUCGCAUCCUAUUUAUAGGAGGCUGGAGCCUCGGAGUACGCGGGGCGUACUGCUCCGAAACGUCAUGGCGUUCGUCAUCCGAAGAACUCGAGUGCGAGGUGCGUCAUGCUUCGGUGUACGCGGGGCGUACUUCGGAUCAGAUCGGUGACUCCUUCGGAUAAUCAUCCGAAUUAAAAAUUAAAUUUAAAUACAAAAUAUUUAAUAAACUUCGGAAAUUCAUAUCUUCUUCAUACGAACUCCGUUUUCGACGUUCUUUAUAUCCACGCGAAGGUGAGACUACGCUCUACAACUUUCGUUUAGACUCCGUUGGCUAAUUUUGACUUUAUUUUUAUUAUUUAUUUUUAAUAGGCCGCGACAGAAAAACUUCGUUAUAAAUUCAUAACUUCUUCGUUUGACGUCCGUUCUCGCCUAACUUUUUAUCGCUUCGAUACCAACAAUGAGACCUUUGAUCCUCGUUUAGAUUACUUCGGCUAAAAACCGCUCCAUCUAAAAUCGAGUAUUUCGGGCUGCACACCGCUAAGCCGAAACUUCGAUAAAUCAUAACUUCCUCAUACGAAGUCAGAUUUGGAAACAUCGUUUCAACUACUAUAACAUUAUUCAAAGAUUNGUUCUAUAUAUAUUCGGAAACCUCGUUUCAACUACUACAACAUUAUUCAAAGAUAUUAAGUUUAUUUUACACUUAAAUUUUGACGCUUAUUUUUAUUCUUAAUUAAUCAAACCACAUAAUUAAGCAAUUAAGCACAAAACACACAAUACUUAAAUAAUACAAUCUUUAUUAUUUCAAAACGGGUUACAGAGGUUAACCUAGACUAUUACAUUGCUAAAAAUGGCAAGCCCGGAAACACAGGCGUUACAUCAUCCAUGAUGGUGUCGAAAAAGAACUCUCUCCAGACUAGUUCAGCAAAUUUAGCUGCUUUCCAGUCAGCUUUUUUCUGUUUUGUAGCGGGAGAGUCAUUGGAGCUUGCAGAUGACAUGUCGAGAGCUAGAUUCUUGAAGUGAAGAGGAGUCUCAGGUCGUUCAGGAGAAGGAAUGAUUUUCUAUUGCAGUGGAGACAGAUGGCUUGGACUCCUGUGAGGAGAUGGUUGCGGUGACAGUUGCGGUGACUGAAGAGUAGAUGGUUGUGGUGAGGGAAUUUUUUCAGUUAUGAUGGGGGCUCCUGUGAUGAGAGACGCUGUUUGAAUGAUGGUCUUCAUCACUUUCCCCUCUUGUGGAAUUCAAACCCGGAGCUUCCUCAAGCCAUGACUUAAGACCAUCAACUUUCGAACAGACUUCGUUGAAUUGGGCCUUAAAUGCAUCAGCCAGUUGCUGAUUGUCUGGGAUGGUAGAGUUGAAGAGUAGUCGAUGAAUCUCCUUUGUCAGUUGAAGAAUCUCGGUGCCAUGAAAAUUGGAGGAUAAAGAUCAUUGAAGUCUGUUGAUGAUAGAUUGAAGGACUGAGAUAGUGGACUCGUAGGCAGUGUUAGUCUCAGCUCUCAGCUUCCGUGAGUGGGUUGACUGUGCUGCAAUGGCUGUUUGUAAAUCUGCUUUGAUUGCGGAUACCUCAGAGAUGAGGCGCUCCGCAGUAACCAUGAAUUGCUUAUGAUCAGCCUGUCGAGUGUUGUCUAGGGACUGAAUCCUCAUUUCCACUUUGAGAGAAAUCCUCUCAGCAACUAAUCGUUCCCGAGUUUCCAAUCUUUCAAUCCAUUCAAUUAAGGACUGCGGUCCUGGGAGUUCUUCAGGUUGAGGUUGGGUAGGCUUCACCGUAGCUAGAAUUUGAUCUACUUUGUCUUGUAGACUCCGAAAUUCUUUUUUGGACACAACUAUCUUCUUUUUCUUCUUUUUCUCUUUAAGCUUCGAGGUAGAGUGUUGAGAGCCACUUGAUUCUUCUUCAUCAAACAUUAUCAGAUCAUCUGAAGGAGUAGAUUUAUUUACCUCAUCGAUGUCAUAGUCAUCAUAUCCAAAGGUUGGUCCGAAGCUGACUUCGAUGGCUGUUCCUUCUUCUUGUGAGUCUUGAAUUUUGGAGGUUGGAGUGGGCUUUGAGGGACCUUGAUCAACAGUCACAGCUUGAGCCUUGCGGAUUGUGUCGGCCAUUUCGUCCAACAGAUUUUGAACUUUGCAGAUAGUAGAAAUUGGGUUUGCAUUUUUGAUGGCGUCUGCCCAAUACUUUGCUACGGAUUGAAUUACAUGUUGUUUUUGUUGAAGCUACUUUGUUUGAUGAGCCUUUCUUGCUUGAAAUGCCCUACGGAAAGCGGCAUAUUACUUUACUUCAGAUUCAUUGGUUGGUUGAUACUUACUCCAUGAGUUGUUAAGAUUUAUAUCGUCAAUUCCUUCAAAAUGCACCGAGGUGUCCCUCGGGUUCACGGAUCCUUGCACAUUCGUGCUCACCGUGCCUAAACCAUCUAUAAAAGAUGUAAGCAGAGUAGGAUUCCGUAAGCUUCAUUGGUCUCCUUGACCCGUGGUCAAGUCUAACCUCGGCUCAGUUCUGGCAUGAGCAAAAGAAGUGCUUUGCAUCUGGGAUGGUGUCUGAAGUGUUUGGGUUACAAACAAAAGGAUGGAUUUCAACUCCUCAGGGGAAAAGAAGUGUAAACGGGAAGCCCUGGAGACCUUAGGGCGGGAACAAGUUCCAUACCCUUGGGAGUGAACUGGGGGUGAGUGUCCAUGUUGAGGUGAAACAGACAAACCUUCUACAUCUGAGUGGUAUUGGAUGGUUGAUUCAAAUGGGUGUGCGGCCACCCCAAGGACUACCGAAGCCUUUUGAGAGGUUGCAGUAUGAGUCCGGUCACGCAUUUUGUUUGUGGAUUGGGUCUUCUGUUUCUUGAGGAUAGAAAUGGGUUGUUCAUCAUCAUCACUUUGUACCAGUUUUCUUUUCCUCGAUGCUUCUGCAUUCUUGGGAGAAGAUUUCUUCUUUGUGAGAGUGGUAUGUUUCUUUGAAAUGUUGCGGGCUCUGUUGUUGGCUUUAACCAAUUGUUUAAGCCUUUUGGCUAAUGGCAGAUGUGAUGUAGUGGUAGAUGGAGUUAUGGUGCUUUCAGGUUGGGUGGGUUUGGUGGAAGUUACUAUUUGUUGGGUGGAAAGAGGUGGGGUAGGAAGGUCUGGAUCAAUACCUUCCGUAGCCUCUAUAUGAUCAGUGACGUCCGCAGUUUCAAGUCCGACAGUAGUCAAAAUGUGGACAAGUAAACGUCUAAUAGGGCCAAAAACAUAUGGAUCUUUAGAAGGAGUAUACCUUUUGAGAUCUUUGGUGAUGAAGAGGUUGAUAUCAUUGCCCAUGCUGAGUUUUGCAUCCGCAUGAGGAUCCGAGAUGCAAAGGGACCAGAACCUUAAAAAAGUGAGUUCGGUAAGAUUUUCUCUUGGACUCUCUUUAGGAAUAUAUUGCAAGAAGUCAUCCCAUAAUAUCUGACCAUAGUUGACAUCGUGGCCAAUGAAAAUGCUCCAUACCAUCUCUACAAGCUUGAGACCCAUAGUGUCAGUGCCUCCGAUUCUGCCUGAUAGGCUGCGGAUCACGAAAUGGAAAAUAAAUUGCCAUAUCGCAGGCAACUGAUUUUUCUUGAAUUCACCGAUCCCUUUCAAUUUCUUCUGGUAACCCAUUUGAUAGAGAGCAGAGACGAUGUCUGUGACACUUGGAGUGAAGAACUUGGUUCAAGGAUGAACUAAUAGAUUGAUGGAAGUGAGGAAUUUUUCCUUGGUUAGAAUGACCAAAAAAUCGAUCACAAGUUUCAGAUGCACCUCAUGGAGAUUGUUAAGAGGUCGAAAGGCAGAGAAUGCACAUUUGUAUAGUGUCGAAAGUGGAACAACGUCAGUGAAGCGGAGUCAAAACCCGUCGGUUGAGCAGAUUGGAUCAUUGAAGAAAGAUUGCACAUCAAAAACUGCCCUAAAAUUACUUGAGCAAAUUGAUGACAUUGCAUUCCUUGAAGCGGAGUCAGAACCCGUCGGUUGAGCAGAGGCAGAUUCCUUGGAGGGUUACUUUGAGAAGUUUGAUUUCGACAUUUUCAAAAGUUUGAAGAACUUGUGGAAAACCAGAGUGCAAGAAGGUAAGGAAGAAGAAGAUCAUCUUAGAGGGUUCAGAAAGCGUAAAGCUUUCUUGGGAAAAAAAAAGGUUUUGUCGUGACAUAUUUGAAAGUUUAUUGGAUUUACCCUAAUUAAAGAAUAAGGGUAAAAACGUUUGGUUUUAUUUUGAUAAAGGAAAUCUACCCCAACCACUCGUUGUUUUUUUUUUUUUUUGAGAAAGAACGGAGCAUUACUGAUGUGUCAGACCCUGUUGCUCUACGUAUGAAGAACAUGUGGUGAGGGGGUCGAUCUGUUGUAUAAAGUAGAAGAUGAAACGGAUUAGACGCUUUGGGGUUAGGAGAAAGGGCAGUUUAAGGAAAAAAGAUUUCUUAAAAGAUUUCUUUUACAGAAAACUGUUCUUUUUGUCAUCAUACCCAAAAUAGGUUUGAGACCGGUUUAUUUAAAAGAAUGAAGCAGUGAUGUGUUGCAAAAGGAAUGUUGAAAUUUUUUUGAGAAUGUUUUUCUUAUUUAAUGAAAGAUCAAUAAAUAGCACACCAUGAUUCAAAAAUUAAUGAAACAGUUGAGAAAUCAACCAAUUUGAUUGCGGAUUGUGACUUCAUUGCGGAUGGAUCAUUUGACAUUGUGGAUGGGCGGUUGGAUGACUGUUCUUUUUGUCAUCAUACCCAAAAUAGAUUUGAGACGGGUUUAUUUAAAAAAUAUUAAGUGGCGAUGAGCUGCAAAAGGAAUGUUGAAAUUUUUUUGAGAAUGUUUUUCUUAUUUAAUGAAAGAUCAAUAAAUAGCACACCAUGAUUCAAAAAUUAAUGAAACAGUUGAGAAAUCAACCAAUUUGAUUGCGGAUUGUGACUUCAUUGCGGAUGGAUCAUUUGACAUUGUGGAUGGGCGGUUGGAUGACUGUUCUUUUUGUCAUCAUACCCAAAAUAGAUUUGAGACGGGUUUAUUUAAAAAAUAUUAAGUGGUGAUGAGCUGCAAAAGGAAUGUUGAAAUUUUUUUGAGAAUGUUUUUCUUAUUUAAUGAAAGAUCAAUAAAUAGCACACCAUGAUUCAAAAAUUAAUGAAACAGUUGAGAAAUCAACCAAUUUGAUUACGGAUUGUGACUUCAUUGCGGAUGGAUUAUUUGACAUUGUAGAUGGGCGGUUGGAUGACUGCAGUAGAAGAACUGAGAAGAACACUUGAACAAGGAUUAGUAAUAACAAACAAUAAGGACCAUUGAAGGAUAAAUAUGAUAUAUGGUUGCGGUACACAAGAUAUAUCAAAACCUUCUAUCAUAGAUAACAUCAGUUAGGACCGCAACAGAGACCAAGGAUGGUCUGCGGUACCUAUCAAUUCAAAAAGAAUUGUGGGUUCGGAUUCAUCAUUCCUAACAUUUGUAAGAAACUGUUGAGUUUUGUAGAGUCAAGUGCAUUGGUACAUACAUCAGCAAUCUCUUCAUGAGUAUGGACACAAAUUAGUUCAAUGUUACCUUUCAGGAUGUGGUCUUUGAUGAAGUGAUACCGUAGUUCAAUAUGCUUUGUCUUGGAGUGCUGAAUUGGAUUGUGAGAAAUAGCUAUAGAACUUUCAGAGUCACAAUAAAUUGGUAUCCGCAGCAUUCUGUAUCCGUAGUCUAAUAGUUGUGCUUUCAUCCAUAAGACUUGUGAACAACAGCUGGCUGCGGCCACAUAUUCAGCUUCUGCAGUAGACAGUGAUACACAAUUUUGUUUUCUUGAUGACUAGCUGACGAGUCUUCCACCUAGAAAUUGACAUCCAUUAGAGGUGGUUUUUCGAUCUAGUCUACAUCCGGCAUGAUCCGCAUCUGUGAAUGCUUGUAAGUUGAAGUCGUUCCCUGCGGGGUACCAUAGUCCAAGAUUCUUGCUGCCCUUUAAGUACCUUAGAAUCUGUUUGGCUGCGGUCAUGUGUGACACUUUUGGGUCAGUCUGGUACCUUGCGCAUACACCUGUUGCAAAGACGAUAUAUGGUCGGCUUGUGGUGAGGUACAUCAAUGAGCCAAUAAUACGUCUAUAAAUCUUGUGAUCAACUAAUUCGCCUGAGGGAUCAGCAAAUAUCUUAUAUCCGAAGGCCAUGGGGACCUUAGCCGAAGAACAGUUGUCCAUUGAAUAUUUCUUUAACAGUUCAGAGGUGUAUUUUUUCUGAUGAAUGAAUAUCCCAUGAGGGACUUGUUUCACUUGAAGUCCUAGAAAGAAGUUAAUCUUUCUAUUCAUGCUCAUUUCGAACUUGUUGGUCAUGAGCUUAGCGAAUUCAUUUACCAUUUUUUGAUUAGUUGAGCCAAAGAUGAUAUCAUCCACAUAUAUUUGUACAAGCAUAAGAUGAUCACCAUUUUCUUUUCUAAAUAGAGUGGGAUCAAUCACUCCUCUUUUGUAUCCAGAUGAGACAAGAAAUUUGGAGAGAGUCUCGUACCAUGCUCUUGGAGCUUCUUUUAGACCGUAGACUGCUUUUUCAAGUUUGUAGCAGUGAUCUGGGAAUUCAAGACUUUCAAAACCCAGAGGUUGCUGAAGAUAAACUUCCUUUUUUAACUCACCGUUGAGAAAAGCACUUUUCACAUCCAUUUGAUGGACCUUGAUGUUCUUGUGAGCUGCAUAUGCUAAGAAGAUUCAAAUAGCUUCCAUUCAUGCUAUCGGAGCAUACGUUUCAUCAUAGUCAAUACCUUCAAGUUGACUAUAUCCUUUGGCAACUAGCCUUGCCUUGUUUUUGACGACCACAUCGGAUUCAUCCAACUUAUUCUUGUACACCCAUCUAGUACCAACAAUGGUGUAGCCUUGCGGAUUGGGAACGAGCUGCCAUACUUUGUUUCUUUUGAAUUCUUCUAGCUCUUCUUACAUUGCGGAUAUCCAGUCUGGUUCUAGUAAUGCUUCUUUGAUCGUUAUGGGCUCGACCGAGGACAUAAAUGUUGCGUAGUCACAGUGAUCGGAUAAGUCCUUGGAUGAUCAAGUCUAGAUACCUGCGGAUGGGUUGCCGAUGAUUUGACCUGGUGGGUGGUCUUUCGUCAAUACAUGUUGAUGAGGUUGUAGAUGAUCAGCAGCUGCAGUAGAGGGAAUAUCUUCAAUAUCAGAACACUUUGUGGUUGCAGAUGGCAGUUCCCCCUGGACUUGAGAACAUCCUGUUGAAUUGUCUUGAACUGGGAAGGUGGGAUCAUAGUUUAUUUGGGCAGAUGGUGAAGAUUCCCCCUGGAGUGCAGACGGGAUUUCCCCUUGAACCUGCAGAGGUUCCCCCUGGAUUGCUAACGGGAGUAUGAUAAUCCUCGAAUCUGUUCUUGUGUCAAUUUUUUCUAUGUUUUCAUCAUCCGAAUCUGAAGAAAUGUUUGACGGUUGAGAAUAUCUACGAAUAACGAUUGGAGCUGCAUCUUCUAGUACUGGAACUUCGAUGAUUGUUGUAUGGUCCGGAGUUGAGUUUUGCCCCUCAACCGGCGAGGUGGAAGUAUUUAGUGAUACCUCAUCGGACAGUGUAGGACCAGAUACAUCAGCAUGCUACUGAUGAGCUUCCACAGGGACACAAGAACUUCUGAUAACUUGGCUGUUUCUACCGGGUCGAAGAGAUUUUCAUAGUUUACUUCAAUUAGAUUUAGUGGAACCGAAGAGGCAAGAAUAUCACUUUCUAGAAUUGUUGUGGUUUCGGUUGAUAGAGUGGUGUUUCGGAUGUGAUAGUCAUCAAAUUUCACAUCGAAGCUCUCAAUUAUCAGCCUUGUGCGUCUAAUGAGAACUCGAUAAGCAACCUUGUUAGUGGAGUAGCCAAGGAAGAUGCCUUCAUCAUACUUGGUGCGAAUUUGUUGAGGUGGUCUCUGUUGUUGAUUACGAAACAUCUACAACCAAAUAUAUGGAAGAAAUGAACAUUUGGCUUACGGUUGUUAAGGCCUUCAUACGGUGUUUUGCUGAGUUGUUUACACACUAUGCUUCGGUUCUGCACGAAGCAUGUUGUGGCCACUGCUUCGGCUCAUAAGUAGAGAGGAAGGUGAGCGAAAUUGAGCAUAGAUAUGGCAGCUUCUACUAGAGUGCGGUUCCUUCGCUCUACUACUCAGUUUUGUUGUGGUGUGUAGGGAGCUGAGAAGUUGUGAGUAAUGCCUUUGGAAACCAAGAAACUAUUUAGGAGAUGGUUAGUAAACUCGGUUCCAUUAUCACUUCGGAUACGUCAUACUGGUAACUUGAUCUGAAGUUCAAUUUCCUUGAUGAAAUUGAUCAAUAUCUGCGGAUUUUUUUUAUUUGAGUUGAAGAAAGAAGACCCAUGUGAAACGUGUGAAGUCAUCCACUAUAACCUGUAUGUAUUUCUUGUGAUGAAGACUGGCUACGGUAGAUGGACCACAGAGAUCAAUGUGCAAGAGUUCCAAUGGUUUAGAAAUUGAGGAGUCAAUCACCAUGGGGUGACUUGCUUUGAAUUGCUUUCCACAUUCACAUGCAGGACAGAGAGUAUCAUUGCUGAACUUGAGGAUUGGAAGACCUAUGACUAGUUCUCCUGUGACCAAAUUGUUGAUGUAUCUAAAGUUGAGGUGAGCUAGCUUGUGGUGCCAUAGCCAGCUGACUUCGGAUACUACUUUGGAUAGGAAGCAUAAUUGUGGUUUGCCUAUGAUCAGAGAUACAUCCAAAGGAUACAUAGUAGCUUCGGACCGGGACUUGAUCAGACAUGUGCUCCUAUCACUUGUCAUUAUAUAGCAAAAUUGGUCAUCAAAUUCAACACGAUGGCAUGCCUUACAUAGUUGACCAACACUGAUGAGAUUGUGUUUAAGGCCUUCUACAUAAGGAACCUUUUGAAUACAGAAGUUUCCUGUAGUAAGAACACCAUAACAUCGAAUUAUCCCAUUCGCAUUGUUGCCGAAUGUGACGUUCCACCGUUGCAAAUUGGCCUGAAAUCUCGAAGGUAUUCUAACCUUCCUACCAUGUGCAAGGAGCAGGCACUGUCGAUUAACCAUUCUUCUUCUUGUUCCUCCUUGCACAAGGCCUGAGAAUUACACAGUUAGUUUAGGCAUCCAAACUAGUUUGGAGCCUGGGGGCAAAGGAUGAGUUUUUGAUUGAUGCAUGAAUCGAGGUUGCAGGGACUGCUUUGUGUCAACUUUUAAUCCUAGUCUUGGGUGUUUGUGUGUUUUUCGAUUGUUGCAUUUUUUUUUGAAAAAUUAUGAGGUUUCUGAAAAGGAUCAGAUUUGACAUGAGAUAAACCUCUUUGACAACUGCAUUGACAUUGACAUGCUGCAAAUUUGUCUUUUGUUUUGAAACUUUGUUUGGUCAGCGGUUUGAAAGAUGAAGGAUUCUUGUGACCAGUCCGAGGUUGGUAAUAUCUGACAUUGGUGCUGUUGGAAUUUGAAAAAGUUCGUUUCGAAAAAGAUUUAGCACGUGUAGAUUCUUUGGACCUUUUUCUAGGAUUUGGUAAAAUGCCCUUCCACUUGUUGAAAUUUUGAUGUGAUUUUAAAAGUGUUGGAAUGGGUAAGAUACCCUUCCAUUUUGGAUCAUCUGAGGAAUAGAUCUAAAAACCAUUGCUUCGAAAAGACCUUUCUCUCUUUUGGGUUGUGUCAGAUGAGUUAGGAAUAAACGUUGAAACUGUACAUUCCUAUUUGCAUGUUUUCUUGAUGGGAGAGUUUUUUGAAAAAUAGUGAGCAAAAACAAACUUUUUUGGACUCUUAGAUUUUGGAAAUCUGAUAUGUCUUUUAUUUUUAGAAAAGGUUUUUCGAUUUGUGCCUCGGGAUCGAAUUUCCUCUUUGAAAGGCUUUUUUGCUAAUUUUUUUGGAGAACGGCAGUCAUUAGUGUUCAACUGCGGUUUCCUUGAAACCUUUGGAAAUUUUUGAAAACGAGUGCUUGACUCAUCCAAACUUGAAGAUUCAGGGUUUUAAGAGCAUUGACCUACUUCAAAGUUUUCUAUGGGUAGUUCAUGGUGAAUUGACUGAAGAGUCACAAAGCCUUUUAUUGUGGACUGUGGUAAGGAUGAUUUAGCCAUCGCAUCGUAAGUCCGAGUUAUGACUUCAUUGGGACUUUUUUGAGAGUCAUGACUGUAGUGAGAGACAUAGCGGUCUGAGGACAAAGAUGGAAAGUUCUGUAAGACUUUGGGACUUUCUAUGACAAUUUCUUCAUCAGCAACUAAUGAGGUCUAAGAAUUUGAAUGGAUUGUGCCACAGAUAAGAGUUUGAUCACUUGUGUGACCCGAAACCUCAGGCACAGUUUCCUCAAUUAUACAAUUAUUACUUAGAUUAUGAAGUCUAUCGAAGUGGGUUCUGAUAUCUUUGGGAAAAGUCUUGUCAUUGACUGGGAAAAGUAAUUCUCGGUCUAGAGGGACAUACAAUCGAUCUUUAUUAAACCGAGGUGAGGAAUCCUUUGCGGUAGGAUAUCUAUUGGACCAACCCUAAUUGUAUGUAUUGUCCACAGUUCCAUUAUUUACCAAAUUUUCAAUAGCUUCACUUUCAUUGAACAAUUUUUCUAUUAAUAGAUUUAGACGUACAAUCUCACUCUGAGCUAAAUCUCUUUGGUUCAAAGCUAUCUCUAGUUGUGUUUCACUCAACAUCCUUGCAUCUUUUUCUAACUCUAAAUCCUUUUCUAACAUGGCCAUUUUGAGUCUUUUGUUCUCUAGUCAUCCUCUUACAUGAAACAUAUCUUGGGAUGCUAUGUUCUUCUCAUCUAAGGCUUUGUUGUAGUCUGUAAAGACGACAUCACAUGUGUCAUUAAGAUUGUCUAUGAAGGGUUGACAGUCAUGCAUGUUGUAGUUUAGAGUUUGAACCAUAAGUUUGACCUAUUCAACGAUGCUUCGUGUUCCAUCUUUUGCCAUGUAGCAGUAGUUCUUUUCCAGCUUUGUAGACCCAUCAUCAUCAGCAGUUGCUAGCAUGCAGAUUUUUCCUUUUCCUUUGAUAUUGCUUAUGGCUUCUUCUUCAUCUCUGGAUGGCCAAACUUGAUGGUCUCUUUUUACAUGAGCUACAUAUGCCCUAGCUUUUUCUUUUUCCUCCAAUUCUUGAGCCAUUAUAAGGUAGAAUGCUUUGUAUUUCACCACAUUUUCUUUGCAAUCUUUAGCAAAAUGAUUCUCUUUGUUGCACUUGUGACAUAUCACAACAUCACUUUUGUCUUCAGAGGGAGAACCGGAGUCAGUGGUUUGAAUGGAAUGCGGUGCCUCUUUUGGUUGAGUAUUUUGAGAUUGUGGUGGUGAAUGAGUACUUUUGGAAUAACGAGAAUGAUUAUUCUAUGGGUUGAAGUUACGGUUGAAUGGAGGUUGGUUGAAUUGUUGAUUUUUACGAAAAGAAGGUGGUAGUCGUUUGAACUGUUGACUAACAAGAGUAAUAGCCUUCUGAAAUUCUUCUUCAUCAUCAUACUCUAAGUCGGCUUCGUAUGACUGUAGUGGAGUUUCAUACAAGGAAGAGUAGGAUUGAUUAUGUGGAGCUUGUGCUAUAAGAGCGAGUGGUCCUCCGAAAUCAGCACAAUCUUUGAGUACGGUGGAUUCUUGUGCUUGCAGUUCCCCGUAGAGCUUGUAGAGUGACAAGGAAUGAAUCUUUCUAUCUCAUUGAACUAUCAUUUAGCAGUAGUCCAAUAUCUUCCCAAAUCGUUAAGAAAUUAAAGGUUUGUUUCAUGGUUACUGCGGGCGGUGCCAUCAUUCGAUAACUUGGUGACUAUUAGAUUGAACAUUUUGAAGGAGUCUUCUAAACAUUCGCCAGUAUGAGCUUUGGAAUUGUUGAAUUCAUUGAGUGCAGUUGUGAGCUUCUUAUCUUGAGCUUUCUCUGAGACUUCGUACAAAUUCUUGAGAACUUCCCAGAUCUCUUUUGCUAAUUUACAGUUUAUGAUAAUGUGGAAGUUGUCAGGGACAACUCCAAAAGAGAUUUCAUAAAAAGCAACAACAUCAUUCUCCAUUUUAUCGAGAUCAUCUUUGGUGAGACGAUUCAUGACUGGUUGUCCUCCUCCUAGUCUGGCUGUGGCACCAUCGGUUUGAACUGGUGUAAGAAUAGGGACAUGUGGUCCUUCUUCUACGGACCGCCAAACAUCUCUACCAAGUCUCCUUAAGUAUCUUUCCAUUCUCUGAGACCAAUGACGAUAUUCAUUUGCCACCAAUAUUGUAGCUCGAUUUGAACCACCAACACUGUAGGAAACAUUCACAGAUAAUGCUUGUGCCAUUUUUCCUUGUUUUUUUUAUGUUUUUUUUUUUUAAAAUGAGCUUAAGUGGAAUAGAAAACGCUUUUAAAAUCAGAGUUUUGUUUUUCAAAGAGAAACCACUAUGGCUCUAAUACCAAUUGUUGAGAGAAAAACUUGAGACACACUUGAAAAAACGUUAGAACAAGUAUAGUUGCAGAAUAGUUAAUCUCAAAGGAUCAAGAAAGCUCAACAAUAAUAAUAAGUUAAUAGUUAGAUAGUUAGAAAGUUAGGUGCGAAAAUGUAAGGAAAUAUAAAUGACACAAGGUUACAUAUCAAGUAUACACAUAAGUUGAUUCAUAACAUAGAAUGCAUUCAGACCAAGUUAGUAAGCGAGAUCAAACUUAGUGAUUAAGCCAACAAUGACUUGCUCCGAAGAGAAAUAAUAAUCAGUUAUAUUCUUGUAAACUUUGAGAGUAAGAAGAGAUUUACGAUGCGUAAUUGAAAGAGAUAAAAAAAAUAGUCUCAAGAUUGUAUAAAGUGAGAAAGAUUAAGCUCUAUUUAUAGAGACUCACAGAUUACAUUAGUCCUAUCUGAUAUGAGUAGCCAUGCAAGGCAUACUGGACAAAGGAAUGUAUACUAAGACAAACAAAUAAAAGACUAAUCUAAUAAAGUAAGAUAGUGACUGCGGAUGCGGUAGCUGAUCAAAGAUGACUUCAGAUCUUGAGAGUUGCAGUAGACGAAGUUUAAGAGGGUCACUUCUAUGAUUCAACAUAUAUAUAUAUAUAUAUAUAUAUAUAUGUAAGUUCAAUUGAGAAAAUAAAAAAUGUUGAGAAUAAAGGAAUCAUUCUUAGCCACUCAUUUAUUUUUGCCGCAAAAGUCUCCAUCGUACCAGCAGAAAUGUGAAAGGAAUAGACAUGUGAUUUCCAACAAAACAUAUUUCCUUAACUAUGGUAAUCAUUACCUUAAUAUAUAGAAAAACGAAGUUUUUUUUUCGUUUUUUUAUUUUUAAGAAGCUAUUUUUUUGAAAAAUGAUUUUAAAUAUACCAAAAUUCAUGAUUUUUUUUUUAUUUUUUACAAAUAAACAUCCAUAUUGAUUUAGUUUUAACAUAAAAUAAUUUUUUUUAUAUUUUCAACUAUGAUUAUUCAUAUAUAAAUAAAAAUGCAUCAGAUUUUUAGUACAACACAUUCCUUAUUCACUUAUUAAUAAAAAAUAUGAUUAAUUUUUUUUAUAUAUUAAGUAUCAUUCAUAUAUAAAUAUAACAUAUAAUAAACUUUUUACAACUUACAUCAACUCUAAUCACAUGUUAUAUUAACAUAUGAAUCAAACAUGUAUUGACUUUUUUCACAAGUUAUAUUUGUAUACGAAGAACACAUUUAACAUAAUUUUGUUACCGUCCAUUUUUUAUUCCUAUAUGAAUAAGUAGUUCAAAUUUUUAAAAUACUUUAUAUAUNNNNNNNNNNNNNNNNNNNNNNNNNNNNNNNNNNNNNNNNNNNNNNNNNNNNNNNNNNNNNNNNNNNNNNNNNNNNNNNNNNNNNNNNNNNNNNNNNNNNNNNNNNNNNNNNNNNNNNNNNNNNNNNNNNNNNNNNNNNNNNNNNNNNNNNNNNNNNNNNNNNNNNNNNNNNNNNNNNNNNNNNNNNNNNNNNNNNNNNNNNNNNNNNNNNNNNNNNNNNNNNNNNNNNNNNNNNNNNNNNNNNNNNNNNNNNNNNNNNNNNNNNNNNNNNNNNNNNNNNNNNNNNNNNNNNNNNNNNNNNNNNNNNNNNNNNNNNNNNNNNNNNNNNNNNNNNNNNNNNNNNNNNNNNNNNNNNNNNNNNNNNNNNNNNNNNNNNNNNNNNNNNNNNNNNNNNNNNNNNNNNNNNNNNNNNNNNNNNNNNNNNNNNNNNNNNNNNNNNNNNNNNNNNNNNNNNNNNNNNNNNNNNNNNNNNNNNNNNNNNNNNNNNNNNNNNNNNNNNNNNNNNNNNNNNNNNNNNNNNNNNNNNNNNNNNNNNNNNNNNNNNNNNNNNNNNNNNNNNNNNNNNNNUGUGUGUGUGUGUGUGUGUGUGUGUGUGUGUGUGUGUGUGUGUGUGAGAGAGAGAGAGAGAAAAGUGAAUAUACUCUUAAGGGUAUAUAAGUUUAGGUACCCAAACUCACUAUAAUAUGUCGUUUUGUUUGAUUUAUUCAUUUUAAUGUUAUUAAACUUCAACCGUAACUUGAUUUACUUUCAAGAUUUUCGAAAUUUCACUAUUAUUUUGUUCUUAAAUCACAUCUGUUUGUCGAACGCCUAGUAGGCUAUGUAUAUUAUAGUUCAAAAUGAAAGAGGAAAAUAAAUGUGAAUUUAUAAAAAUCUUCGAAGUAAAUCAUGUUAGAAGUUGAAUUAUAAGAACAUUGGACAAUUACAAUGUGUAUAUGAUACAAAAGGAUGUAAUAUGGUNNNNNNNNNNNNNNNNNNNNNNNNNNNNNNNNNNNNNNNNNNNNNNNNNNNNNNNNNNNNNNNNNNNNNNNNNNNNNNNNNNNNNNNNNNNNNNNNNNNNNNNNNNNNNNNNNNNNNNNNNNNNNNNNNNNNNNNNNNNNNNNNNNNNNNNNNNNNNNNNNNNNNNNNNNNNNNNNNNNNNNNNNNNNNNNNNNNNNNNNNNNNNNNNNNNNNNNNNNNNNNNNNNNNNNNNNNNNNNNNNNNNNNNNNNNNNNNNNNNNNNNNNNNNNNNNNNNNNNNNNNNNNNNNNNNNNNNNNNNNNNNNNNNNNNNNNNNNNNNNNNNNNNNNNNNNNNNNNNNNNNNNNNNNNNNNNNNNNNNNNNNNNNNNNNNNNNNNNNNNNNNNNNNNNNNNNNNNNNNNNNNNNNNNNNNNNNNNNNNNNNNNNNNNNNNNNNNNNNNNNNNNNNNNNNNNNNNNNNNNNNNNNNNNNNNNNNNNNNNNNNNNNNNNNNNNNNNNNNNNNNNNNNNNNNNNNNNNNNNNNNNNNNNNNNNNNNNNNNNNNNNNNNNNNNNNNNNNNNNNNNNNNNNNNNNNNNNNNNNNNNNNNNNNNNNNNNNNNNNNNNNNNNNNNNNNNNNNNNNNNNNNNNNNNNNNNNNNNNNNNNNNNNNNNNNNNNNNNNNNNNNNNNNNNNNNNNNNNNNNNNNNNNNNNNNNNNNNNNNNNNNNNNNNNNNNNNNNNNNNNNNNNNNNNNNNNNNNNNNNNNNNNNNNNNNNNNNNNNNNNNNNNNNNNNNNNNNNNNNNNNNNNNNNNNNNNNNNNNNNNNNNNNNNNNNNNNNNNNNNNNNNNNNNNNNNNNNNNNNNNNNNNNNNNNNNNNNNNNNNNNNNNNNNNNNNNNNNNNNNNNNNNNNNNNNNNNNNNNNNNNNNNNNNNNNNNNNNNNNNNNNNNNNNNNNNNNNNNNNNNNNNNNNNNNNNNNNNNNNNNNNNNNNNNNNNNNNNNNNNNNNNNNNNNNNNNNNNNNNNNNNNNNNNNNNNNNNNNNNNNNNNNNNNNNNNNNNNNNNNNNNNNNNNNNNNNNNNNNNNNNNNNNNNNNNNNNNNNNNNNNNNNNNNNNNNNNNNNNNNNNNNNNNNNNNUAUAUAUAUAUAAAUCUAUAUAAAGUUAGGAUCAUAUAUAAACCUUAAUUAUUGUGUGAAUGUGUGAACCAAUGAGAAUUUAGAAAAACAAUAAAUGAUUAAUUAAAUAAGUAAAAAGUAAUUUUGGAAGUUUAAAUAUAAUUAUUUACUAACCAAAAAAUGAAGUCGUAUAUUUUCCUUAAAUCAUGGUUUCGGUUACAAGAAUGCAAGAAUACUAAUUACUUUUUUGUUAUUUAUUAACUACUGUUUUUUAUUGUAUAGACCAUGUUAAAUUAUUCUUCAAACCGUGUGCAGUUAAUUUUUUUUUCUAGAAUGUUAAUAUUAUUAUUAAAGAAUAUUAGUUGUAUUCACUGUUAAUGGAUAUUGAUCCAAAAAAGUUGAAACAUAAAGAAUUUUAGGCCUUUUAUUCUUCAAGAAUUAUUGAAAUCUCAAAGAAUUCUUCAAUUAUAACAAAUUAAUCAUGUUACAGACUUUUUUAUUCAAACUAUUAUUUUCGAUAAUAUAUGUUGUACUGUACCAUAUUCUUUAAGAAUACACAAACAAUAAUAAACAAAAUUGAAAUACAAGAACGAAGGUAGCACUCAUUAUAAAAGAAUAUACUCCAACUGAUGGUAUUAAAAAAAUUAAUCAUGCUAAACGAUGAAAUUAUUCUUAAACAAUUUAAAUAUGCAUAAUAUAUUAUAUCGUAUUUUUAAAGAAUGCACGGAUAAUAUUAAACUUCUAUUUUUACAAAAAUUAAAUGUGGUUGCAAUCGGUUACAUAAAUUCAUUUAAUACAUUCGUUAUUGAGAGUUAAUCAAAAUAUAAAUUAUGUCUUUAUAAUAAUUAUUUUUAAUUUCUUAUUAAAAAGAAAUGUUUAUGUGUGUUGUGUUCUAUUAUAAUUAUGAUAUACCAUAUAAUCUUAGCCAUAUACACAUCUAAAUCUAAUGGUCCAAAACUUGUCAUACACUCACACAAUAUAUAUCAUUCACAUUUAAUCCUAACCCUAUAUAUAUCCCUAUUCUAAUAAAAGAAUAAUUUUAAUAUUCUUUUGACAUGUGUCAUCAUAUUAGGCCUCCUAAUUAAUACACAUUUUAUUCUUUUUUUNUUAUUCUGGAUUUCGUAAAAUAACCAAUCUUGAAAGUGCAAUCGUGUUUAGUAAUAAUAUUUUGUAAAUCAAUGGCCGCAUUAAAUGUAAAAUAAUUUCUUGCUAUUUAUUAUAUUUGAACAUAUAACAAUGAAUGAUGGUGAGAAAUAAAGUCAGAAAUGCAUGCACCGUCUGGAGUAAGUUAGACGUUAUCAUGCAUCAAUAUAGUAUAAAAAUUACUAUUCCUAGUAAGACACCCUUUUAUGGCUAAACAAAAAGUUGGCACCUACGUUAUCCAUGUAACGAAAAGAAAAUUAAUAGAGGGUGGUGGAAGUGGAAUCGUAAGAGUGAGCAUGAUGUGGGUUAGAUGUAAGAGACAAUAAAGGCAGACAAAGAGAUUGGUAAAUAUUAGAAUCUUUUGGGGGCCCAGAAUGAAAGAUUUUAUAAAAUAUUUUGGUCUUGAUAGAUAAGCCCCAUGAAUUGGGGCGGUUACCCAAUCAUCAUUAUAUCUCUAUCCCUUACGCGUGUGUUUGCACUUUGUCCCUUCUUUCUUUCGGUAUCCUCCCUUCCACUCGCUUUGUCACAUUCUCAUAUUACAAAAUACAAUUAAACAAAAUUAAAAAAUAACAAAGAAAGUUGUAAUCUUAUAAUAGUGAUAAGCAUUUUAAGAAUUCGAAAACGAUUAUCCGGGGGCAUUUCAAGAAACGGAGACAAAACCGAUGUAUAGGAUACGGUACCAUACAAACCGUCUCAAGAUAUUGACCCGUAUAUAUAACUUCAUUUCCAGUAUAAAUUCUUACGAUUUUUUCAUUAGAAUCUUCACAAAAUUGCAAGAAUGGUCCACGAGGUAUGUCAAAACUAGCAUGUUUGGGCCAAAACGGUUUUGGGCUAGUAAUUUAAAAACAAUUAAAAUAAACAAAAAUAAACUCUCUCUCUCUCUCUCUCUCUCUCUCUCUCUCUCUCUCUCUUUGUUCUUCAACAUGUAAACAUAACCAUAGUUAACAAGAGUUCGAUCUCGCCUGGGUUUUCUACUUUGAAAUAGCUUCCAAACUCGUCCUUGAUUGUUAGAGAUGAAGGGGGGAUGGAGGAUAUGUGAGAUCUGCAGGUGGAGGCUGUGGAUCUGUGACAAAAAAGUAUAGAGGGCUAUUGAUGGCUGAUUUCAGAAGGCACUAAGAGGGGAGGUAAAUCAAAGAUGAAGACCAACAUACAAAUUGAUUUUUGGGAUGAACAAAGGCUUGUUGUGUUUGUCAAGGUAGGGUUUGCACAAGCGAAGACGACAGUGGCGGUGGUGGAUUCUGGUUUCCUACGGAUCUGCUCGUGUCUUCUUCUCCCUCAACCAUCAUUUUUUUCGAACAAGAAAAUGAUUUCUACAACUUUCGAUCUAGGGAAGAAAGAACAGAAAAAACGAUUUCUAGAAAUGUGUGUGCAUUUUUUUCUGGAGGCAAGAACAAACCCUUUAUCCUCAUGAUUUUUGUUUCAAGACUAACAAGAAACCCAUUUAUGGGGAUCGAUUUUCAGAUCUCGAGUUUGGUGAUGAACACAAAUCAAUUUUUAACAUCACAAAAAUAAAAAUACACAUUGGAUAUGUUGGAGAGAUCCUUUUAGUUGAAGAUCAACCCUACAUCUACCAAUAUCGAUUUUAGGUUUAUGGUUCACAUUAGAAAUUGAUUCAGAUUAAGAUUAGGUUUUACAAAUCAUUUUUUAAAGGAUGUUUGUUGAGAAGCAAAUAUGGAGAUAUAGGUGUGAGUUCGUUGAAGAAGAAGAAGAUGGAAUCAGGAUGAUUUUUUUUUUUUACUUUCAUUUUUUUAGAGAUGAGUGGUGAUAUUUGUUGGUUUCUUAUCUAUUACAAUUCCAGAUCUGUAGAUGGAGAUGAAGGUGGCAGAUGAUGGUGGUGGCGUAUGGUGGUGGAACGGUGGUGGUAGCAGAAGAUGUUCUUUGAGUUCAUGAAGAUGUUCUUGAGUUUAUGAAGAUGUUCUUUGGUGUUUAUAAAAGACAAAAUUAGAGAGAGAGAGAGAGGGAGAGAGAAAGAAAGAGAGGAGGGAGGGAGGGAGGGAGGGAGAGAGACAGAGAGAGAGGCAUUUUAUGUUUGUUUUAUUUUUAAUUAUUGUUAUUUAUUGUAAUAAAAGAAAAACAGAAAGUAAAAUAAUAUGGGGCAAAAUCGUCUUUACAAAAAAAUUCAAACCAAAUUGGACCAAACUUGCAAGCAAAUGAAACUUUUGGACCAUUAAUGCUAGCCCAAUCCGUUUUGGCCCAAACAUGCUAGUUGUGACAUACCACACGGACCAUUCUUACAAUUUUGUCUAGAAUCUUUACCAAAAAUAGAGUACACUGACAAAUUCAAUCCUACAUUACAAAAUGACGAAUUAACAUGGAUGAUUUCUACAUUAUUUCUAAACAAACCACCCACCAUUUCUCCGUCGUCAAACUCAAGGAGGUCUAUAAGAGAAAAUUGAUUUUGGAGAGAAAGAGAUUGAAACGACUAAGUAUAACGGCUUUGGUGAAGUUAUCAACUUGUUGAUUAGAAGACAAAAUUGAAAAUAAAACGAACCAUUUUACCAAGAGCAUGUUGCCUUGCAAAAUGACAAUCAAUCUCUAUACCUUUGGUUCAUACAUGAAAGACACCAUUAUAAGCUAUUUGAAAGGCAUUUUGGUUUUGACACCAAAGAAUCAUAGGAGAUGAUUGCACGACAUCUAUAUCAAGAGAAGCCAUCAAAUCCAUAUGAGUUGUCGAGUAUUUGUUUUCUAGAGCACAAUAUUCAACUUUAGUAGAAGAAGGAACCAUAAGAUAUUAUUUCAUACUAUUCCAUGAGAUAAAGGACAAACCAAGAAAGAAGCAAUAUCUCAUCAUUUAGCGAUGAUUAGUAAGAUCGUCAUCAAGUAAGCAUCAUAAUAACAACAAAGCUCCAUCGAGAAUUCAAAAGAGAACAUAUCCAAAUCACGCAUGCCAAAGAGAAUAAUCAAUAAUUUAUUAAAAAAAUCAUAUAGAUACAAUCAACAAUACUUUUAUUACAUUCAAGAUAAACAUUUGAUUACAAUAAUAUAACGUCCCAAAAAUUACAAAGAAAUUUUUUCUUUGAAAAUAGAUUAACCGAUCAAAACCUUCAACUUAAAAACCAUAAAUGAUAUUUAUUUGUUUGAAACCAUAGUGUUAUCAAAGCGUUACAAGAAAGUAGAUAUUAUAAUCUUUGAUGUGUGUAUAGUCCCGCCAAGUUCUUUUCACGGACAACAUGUAAAACAUUUAAUCCAUAAUUGUAAGUAGAAAACUUAGUGAGAUCCCCAGUAUACCAUAAAUUCCACUAUAUAUACAAUGUAUACACAAGAAGUCCUCGGCUCUAAAGUCAGCCUACCCGCUCUUCCUACUACAACCAUAUAUCACAUAUAAGGACCCAACCCAAACAUACAUAACGAACCCCACCCAAAGGAACAUAAUGGACCCCACCUACAUAAACAAACGGGCCUUACCCUCAUACACAACGGGCCCUACCCACAUACAUAACAUGCCUCACCCACAUAACACAAUAGGUUAAUGUCAGGGGCCAAAUCUUGGUCUUCCAUGCAAUUCAUAUAAUUGUAUGUGGCCAACUAGAAGAUAGAUAGUCGAAUAGGUGGUCCACUAAAAUGCAAUAAAUCAGAUAAGAACCAUGCAAUCAGGCUGUAGAGCUAAAUUUGUUAGGCUAUCCAACUUAACCACCUACUACCAUUACAAGCAUUGCCCUAACCAACCAUGACACCUAUAAUAGCAUAUUGUCCAUAAUAAAGACUCUUCCAGUCUAGCAUACCAUGAAAUAAUUAAAUUUCAUAUACUGCUCAACCAACAGUAAUAUACAAUAAAAAAGCAAGACCCUACCAGUCUAGCAUACCAAGACACCAAGUGCCCUACCCAACACAUGCGUAACAAGGAGUUAUCCUAGUUAACUACCAUACUUGUACUCUAAUAGUUGAAAGAUUUGCUAUGAUCAAGAAUCACAUUAAAGUGAUAUUGCUAAUUAACAUAUGAUACUAAAGGCUCACACUAACAACAACUUGAUAUAAUUGAUUAUUUAUUAGAAACUGAUUUUAAUAAAUAUUUUGCAAAGUCUUAUAAUUAAAUUGAAAAUUAUUUAAUUCUAGGAAAUAAUAAUUUUCAUUAGCGAGUAGCAUCAUAUAUAAUUCAUAUGAUAUGAAUGAAUAACUGAUGCACAACAUUUUGGACUAGAUAAAUUCUUUUGACUUUUACCAAAAAGUUGAAGUUUAUAUUUUAUAAACCUGGUUUAUAAAAUAUAAAAGGCUUUUGUAUUCUUUUGCUUUCAUAUUUUAAAAUAUGGCUAGACAAAAUAGAGUAUAGGCUUUUCAUUUGUUUAAUGAAAAUAACACUCCUCUAAAAGGACAACCAUGGACAAUAUGAUUAAAAUAAGGAUUGAUGGUCUUUUGAUUAAUUUAUUCAAAAGAAAGGCAUGGCUUGAAGCAUGAGGAACACACAGGCUUUAGGGGCAUGGGUUCUUAAAGUGUUAAUAACUUAUGCACCAAAUAUUUUCUAUAUAAAGUGAGGCUUUCAUACUCUUUCACCACCCAUGCAAAAACCAUAACUAUGUAUGUAUGUGUGUUUAUCUCUAGUUUUAGUUGAAGACUUGAAGAUCACACUCUUGCUUAUGCUCUCUUUAUGUUCUUAUUUUGAGAAGAACAUAAAGCUUAAUAGUCUUGAGAGUUUUAUACAAAAAAAAAACUAGCAUUCUAUAUCAAGUUGAUUCAUUGUUCGUGUCUCUAAAGUUCUACAUUCUUCAUCAACUUCAAUGCCUCCCAAGAGGAUCCAAAGAACUACAAAGGUUGUAAUUUUUCUCCAUCUCUUCUUUGGUUGGUGUUGUUUUCUUUCCAAACUUUGCAAGAAGAUCCUUGAUGGGUUAUAAACUUGUUUUAUGUUAUUUAAAUCAUCAAGUCUUUCGUUGCUAAAUAUUAUGCUUUGAAACUAGUAUAUGAAUAAAAAACCCAACAAUUGGUAUCAGAGCCAUCUUGCAGGUUUGGUUAGAUAUUUUGAUUUUUGAAAAUCUUAGUUUUUACAAAAUAUAGAUAACUUGGUUUUGUAUAAAAUCAAGUUCAUACCUAUUUUCUGAGAACUGUUUUUGAAUUGUUAUUUUAUGUGACAAAAGUUUCACACAUCUAUUGUCAUUUAAAGAUGUCGUAGAAAAACACAGGUUGUUUUAUGUAUAUGUUGAUAUGUAUAAUGUACAUAAACUAGCCAAUGGCCACUGCAUUUGUUGUGUUGUUGUGUUGGUUGUUUUUAUUAUUAAAAUGGUUGCAGUAAUUUUUUUUAUUCAUAUGAUAUGUAAUAAAUUAAAUAGGUAGUUUUCUUGGUUUAUUUUUGUAAAUAAUAUAUUGGUUGUUAGAAAUAAUUUAUUUGUAAAAAAAUGUACCAAGAAAUGAAGCUGGAGCCAUUUUUUGAAGACCAAAGAGCAAUUUUCAAGUUUAACAGCAUGUUGAAAGUUAGUGAUAGUUUCUGAAAAGUGUCACUAAUGCUGUUUACAAAGGGUUGUUGGACCUUUAGUGACAGUUGCUGAAAUAUUGCUUUCAAUAAGCAUUUCCAAUCUUUUGCAAGAAAAUAGUGUUUUCUCAAAUGGCUGCUUCUACAACAACAUUACAAGAAGAUUUUUUGGCACCUUAAAAUGUCCCUUUAGGAAAGGACUUGGCAUUUUUAUGUUGGCUCACAAAAAUAUCAUUAGUUGGUUAUGUUUAUGCACAUAUAAUUUUAUGCAUGCUUCUGUUGUUUAUUUUAUGCAAUUAUUAUGAGUGAUUGAUAAAUUAGUCUUUCACAUGCUAAAAUAAUUUUGGACAAAACAAACAUCACAAGGAGUUUGGUUUUCAAAAUUUAUAAUGUGGACAUAAGAUGUAACAAGUUAUAGUCUUAAAAAUAAAGUAGGGUUUUAUAAAAAAACAUAUUAACGUCAAAUUUUGAAAUACUCAAAUAUAAGUUUUCAAAUGUUGAUUUUUUUUAUAACUUAUACAAACUCCAAAUAUAUAAGUAAUAAAAUAACGUUUUAUUAAAGAUAUAAAAGGUUCAAAUGCAAUCAAACUUAAUACAAGUUAUUAAAAACUGAAUCUCUUUAAAUUAUAUAAAAACACUAGAUUUUUAUAUAGAACCUUUAAAAGUGAUUUUUUUUGAAAAGUGAUACCAUGUUUUAUUAUAUUCAUGUAAUAACCAUGAUAUCAUAUAUAUGUUUUUAAACGAGAAUUAUAAAACAUAAAAAAACCCUUUUACAAACCUCAAAUCUAUGCAAUCCUUUUUGAAGAGCACUCGCACAUCUCUUGUAUGUACUAGUGAGAUAAAUGAUACCUAGCCGCUUAGUGUUAUCUUUUGAUGGUUGGGGUGUAUUCGCGAUUUCUAUAACCAAGUUAUAGGCCGAUUACACAAGCUUUUCAAAUUAGAUGAUUUGAUUGGAAAUCUUUUGUGAUAAAGAAUGCCUAAGCAAGCGAUUGUUUCGAGGCAUAGAUGGGAUCAAACAUGUCUAUUAAAUUUUUUAUUAGUGAUCCCAUAAAUCUAGGAAUUAUAUAGUAUUAUAUAAUUGAUAAUCGAUAUCUACCGGGAUGAAUUCAAAUAGAUGAGACAAAUGAUACCUAACAAUUUAUUUGUUUUGCGACUUGGAUCCUAGACUUUGAUAAUUAAUGCUUUUGGAAACUAAAAGGUUAUUAAUUAUUAAAGAGUUGAAUAUUGAAAAUACUAAAUGAAUUUUGUUAAAAUUUUGUAGUUAAAUAAUCCAUUCUCAUUACCAUGAAAUUGUCAUUUUCUUUAAUGACUUAAUGAAACAAUAACAUUCACUAGAUACGAAUUUCAAUUAAUGGGUUCAUAUCUUAAGAGACAAUCUCACAUGACAUAUGGAACUGUGUACAAUUAAAGGUCCAAGUCCUAAACUAUUUUCUUUGAUCAAUAAGCCUAAACAUGAUACCUGGUAAAGGCAUCACUGUGAUGCUAAAAAUUGUUCUAACAUCAAACUAGGAAUAGUUCAAGGCCCAAAAGAGUCACCUUGUGUGAUCUAAGAGGCCCAUGUUUUAUGGAUUGAACACCUUUAAUCCCAAGAAAUCCAAUAAGGCCCACAUAGAUGGAUCUUGUUUUUUCAUGAAGAAAUUGGGCACUAGAAGAGGAUAUGCUUCUCUAAUAUGGAAAGAAAGCCUCGAAGAGACUAGUAUUUCAGGUAUUUACUAGAUAAAACUCAUACUUAUCAAAUAAGACUCAAGUAUUUGGUACUUAAAUGUUAAUCUAAUAUUUGUAAACGGUUUGCAGAUAUUUACAAAAGAGUAACCAGCUAAGCAGAAUCAAGUUGGAACUACACUCUCGGAGUUUAGUUUAUUAAUUAUGCUAGGAACAUAAUUCACUUGUAUUAUGAAACAAUGUUUGUUUUGGAACAAUGUAUGUUUUAAUUUAGUUUGCCUAAAUAUAUUUCUCAGUUUAAUUUAUGAAUAAUUGACUAUUUACAUAAAUCGUUUUUCAUAAUGAUCACCAUCGUAUUCGAAAAUGAUUAAAAUUCUUUUAUGAGAGUAGAUCUCAUAAAAGGAAUUAUAAAGUAAAUAUAAAUGUGUUACAAAUAACAAGUUCUAUAUGCAACAUGUUUUUGACUUAAACUUGUUUUAAAUGAAACUCAUCUUUGACAUUGUUAUCUUUAUUAUGUAAAUGGAUUCACAUAUUCCAACUUCAAGAAAGGGAUCUUUGAAGGCAAAUAAUGUAGUUUAUUUGAAAUAUGUAAAUCUUGUUUAUACAUAAAAGGUUCCUAAUUAUAUUUUCGCUAAGUAGUAGAGAGAAUAAUUAUUAAGGAACUAUACACUAUGGUGUAUGACUUUCUUUCUAAUGAAUGUCUAAGAUUUAGCACAAGAUAGCAAAUCAACUUUAUUAACAACUAUAGUAGUUCUAAGUUAUAUUUUACAUGUUAAAAAAUAAUAAGUUUUUAAAUAUAAAGUUGAGAUACAAACCGAUAAGAACCAUUUAAGGCCUUAAUGAUAAUAAAGAAUGAAUUAAAUCCUCCUCAGAAAGAUUUACUUUCUAAUCGAUAGAAAUGUCCUCCUUUUAUUUCCUAGGAAUAAACCCUAGAACACUCUCAUUUGUACCUUGAGUACAAACACCAACUAACUAGUAGAUAUGACAUUUUAUUCAUAAGAUUUAUAUGGAAAGACUCCAUUUAUAUCUUACUUAAAUGUUUUAUGGAUUUAAAGCCUAUAUGUUAGAGUAAUGCUUAUAAACCCAAAAUCUACUAAAUACAUUUUUGUAUAUAAUACUCUAAAUGUGGCUUAGAUUAUUAUAAGAAAAUGCACCAAGAAUAGGUUUUUCUUAUUCAUAUGAUAGUUGAGGUAGUAGAAAGAAGCUUCUAAUGACAAAGCAAGUGGGAGGUACAUGGAACUUGAAGCAACUUAAGAACCAUUACCUGAUUUAGUAAUAGUAGGCAUUAGUUUUAACAAGGGAUUGUUAUACUUGAAUAAUAGCUAUUCACAAACACAAAUUGUUUGCUUUAGUGGUAGAAAUCAAUUAUGAGUUGAGAAAUGUGGAAUCUCUCAUUGAUGAGCUUUUCUUGAUGGUUUCUAGUAAAUCCAUCAAAUACCAAUAUGCUAUGUCAAAUCUCAAUUUUGAUUAAUGACUAAGGGUCAUGAACAUGAGACACAAUCCAUGUAUGAUAAUCAAGUAUGCUCUUGGUUGAAAUUUCUCUAUCUAGCAAGGCUUCUUCUAGAAUGAAUACAUUACAUGGAUAACCAUACACAUUGAAAGCAAGACUUGUUAUAAAUGUGUUUUAUCAUACUCAUGUUAUUGACUAUGGUCCUUAUCAUACUCAUAAUACUGAUUAUGAUCAAACCUUUUUCACAAGUAGCUAUGAUUAGAUCAAUAAGGAUAUUGUUUACUAUAAAUUCAUAUUCUUAAUAUGAAAUACAACAGAUAGAUUUCAAUUAAGACUGAUUUUUCUUAAUAGACAUCUACUAGAAGAUAUCUAUAUAGAUUAGCCUGGAGGUUUUCUUAAUCCAUGUUAUCCUAACAAAAUUUGCAAAUCUUAAGAUCCACUUGUGGAUUUAAAGAAAACAUCUCAUUGUUGUAAUCAUCAUUUUAAUAUGAAAGCACAAGGUGUAAUUUUAUAUCAAAAUGAAUAGAACAUGUGUGUUUACUAAGAACUAGUGGGAGCAUAGUGACAUUCCUAAUCUUGUAUGAAUGAGACAUACUUAAUCAUAAGAAAUUACAUUAUGACCAUGCCGGAAUUUUUCACCUUGAUUCAAAAUGUGUUUCUAACAUGAUAGACUUAGGAAGAACAAGAUACAUUCUUGGAAUGUAAAAUUUAUAGAGAUAGAAAAAAUGAAUGUUAAAAGUUUUAUAUCAUUUUUGCAUAUAUUGACAAUGUCUUGAAAGAGAUCAAGAUAGAAGAUUCAUCUGGAAGAACCUUAGCAUUGUCACAUGGCACUAAGUUUAAGACAUCUUUAAAAGGACCUAACUCUUAGGUUUGAAGUAGCUGAAAUGAUUUAUAUUCGAUUUGCUUGGCAAAUGAAUCCACCAUAUAUGUCAUAUUAUGUAAUAAUACCUGGUGUAUGAUCAUGCUAUGAGCAUAUCUUAAUAUACUAAUUGAAUACAUGGUUAAGUCACCAGAUGACUAUAGAAACAUUCUAAAAGUACUUUGGAAGAACCAAGAGAAUGUAUAUGAGACAUAUAGUUUAGAAAACAAUAUUCACGUAAAGAGCUACAUAAGAUUCUGAUUCUAAACAAAUGUAUAUAAUUAUGAAUUAUGAUUAGAUUAUGACUUUGUUGUGGGAUGAAGAGUAAGUUUUGUUGGAAUGAGGUCCAACCAAAACAAAAUGAUAGAAUAUACUACAAAAUAAGUGUACACUACUUUAUAAGUUGAAAUCUAAUAUGAUUGAAUGAAUAAAUUCAUUAAAGAACUAUGUUGAUUACUGCCAUUCAAGGAUCACAUAGAAAUCUUUGUGACUUCGAGAGUAUACUUAAUUGAGCUAAGAGACUCUAUAUCACGAAAGAACACCAAUCAUAUACUCCAAGAUAUUUAGCUAUACCUAGAGUAAAGUAAAAUAUGGAGAUGAAACUAUUCACAAAAUUCACACAAAUUAAGUCUAAUCAAACCCAUUAAUAUAGUUCUUCUUUUGAGCUAAGUAUGGGUGGUCAAACUUCAGUCGUAAGACUUUAUUAUUCUAGAAAUGGGAUUUUAAAUUGGAUUUAGUAUUUGGAUAUUGGAACAUUUUGACAACAACUAUAAUAUAAUGUUUUGAUAUAUUGGGAUAUGAUUAUAACAUCACAACAUGUUAUGUUCUAUAUUAACAUAUUUAAUCCAUGAAUAAUCUUAGUAUUCUAAAUGUUCAUAGUCAGUUAUAAUUCUGGGAGAAAUUAUGAAAUAAGACUAAGAUGAAUUGGAUUGGUUGACUUUCACUGGAUGAAGGUAGGUAAUGGUUUGUAACCAAGUUUCAUAGGUACUUGUAAGAGAACUGGUAUUGAAGUGACCCGCAUCAAGAUCAUUUCGUGGAUCGUUAUCGUGAAUGAUACUUGAUUACCAGGUACUAUCUUUGUAUUGUGCUUAGAUAUGGUUAAACGUUGGUUCAUAACCGUGCAGUUAUAACCAAGUUUUACUUGACCAUUGGGCCUUUGGAGUGUAAGUUAGACCAUGGGCUUGUAACCUAAUUAUUAAUUGUGUAUUGUUUGAUGUUGGCAGUUCGGGAAUCUGUCAACCAGCAGCCGGAGUUUCAUUUGUGGGACUUUAGCAGUGGCAGGUGAGUCUUCUCACCAUACCCAUGGGUCUAAGGAACCAAGGCCGACCCAUUUUAUGAUAGUUGGUAUACUUGCCGUGUAGAGGUGUGUGGCAUAUUUAUGCAGUGAUACGUGGUAGAGAUAGCUUUUACAACUAAUGGUAGAGAUAGCCUUUAUGGCUAAGGGUAGAGAUAGCCUUUAAGGCUAAUGGUAGAGAUAACCUUUAUGGAUAAUGGUAGAGAUAACUUUUAUAGCUAACGGUAGAGAUAGCCAUUAAGGCUAAUGGUAGAGACAACUUUUAUAGCUAAUAGGAUAUAUGUUAUAUGGUAGAGAUAGCUUUUACAGCUCAUGUGAUAUAUGUUAUGUGGUAGUGAUAGGUUUUAUAGCUAACAUGAUAUGUGGUAUGUGUCAGAAAUAGCUUUUAUAGCUAAUAUGAUAUGUCGUAUGUGGUAGAGAUAACUUUUAUAGCUAAUAUGAUAUGUGGAUUGUGGAUUGUAUAUGGGGUAUGCUCUGGGGGACUCACUAAGAUUUGUGCUUACGGUUUAUAGUUUUGGUUUCAGGUAUCGUCGGUUUGGAAAAGAAGUGCUUGGAUUGAGCAUAGUAUACACCUAUGAUUUCCGUAACGAAUGAUUUUGGGAUAAACUCUGAUAAAUGAUUUACUUGACUAUGAUUUGAAAUGUUUGAAUUAAAUGGUAUCAAUGUUUUAGUUAUAUUAAAAAUGAAAUUUUUACCCUUGAUUUUUGGGUCGUUACAAGUUGGUAUCAGAGCCUUGGUUUGAGGGAUUUAGACAUACUUUAGGGUGAGUCUGAACUCAAACUGAGGAUCUGUAAAGUGUUCAAAAAGAAAAAUGCUCUCAAGGAAAGAACUUUCUAAAAUAAGAAAAGUUUGUGGUGAAUGCAAUCAGCCGAGCUCAAAUAAGUUUCCCCAGAAUACCCAUAUAUGUUAUCUAUUAUGACUUGAUUUAUGAAUCUGUGAAUCGCAUGCUAGUUAGGGCUACCAGAGAUGCCUAUAUUUGUAGCCUUGGAGAUACGCUUUUAAAAUUAUAUACGGUUAGGAUCUUAUAGCCUUAGAAUAAUUGAUUUGGACUCAUUUUUUGUUCGUCAUCUGGUUAUGGUCCUCGGGUAGAAUCUAUUACUUGACAGCCUAUUAGUUCCUAUUCUGUGUACAAUUUGCAUGCAUAAGGCAGCCGACAGCGUGGGUGAAUGUGGACAUCAAGGGUCAUGGUAUAUAUGGGCCGAAUGUUCUAUGAUAGUUUGUGGGUCGUAGAUUACCCUAAGAUAACCCCAUGAUGUGAUUAGUGACAUGAGUCACCUGAUUGUGAAUUGGACAUAUAGAUAGAAUUAUUUGAUUGGAGUAUGUUGGUUAGUUUUUCAUUGUCCGAAUGCUGCUUGCUUUGUUCUUUGUGGGACUUUUAGCAAUGUUAGAUAGCUACUAAGUGAAUAUGCUAGGUCACAUGUGGCACAUGCCGGAUAAUCUCAGAGUGAUGGAUUUGGCCCUAUUGCACAACUCUCGUUUAAGUCUAACUGUUCUAGGAUUAAGUCUGUUACUCGAAGGAUUAUCUGAUGUCUGUUGUAUGUGGCUAUAUUCAUAAGGUAGCUAGUUGACAUUAAUAGAAAUAUUUCAUCAGCUGAGGACUGGGUGGGUUGGGAACCUAGGAGAGCAUAGGAGGUGCUUCGGGGGAUAUUGUGUUGCUGUUUAGCAGAAAUUAGUACAUCAUGCGAGUAGGUGACUUAGAGGAUCCAGGAUGAUUCCGGAGGAAAGUAUGGAUAGGUGUGGAAGGUAGUAUUGGACUCGUCCUACUGAAAGCACAUGAUCCAUACUCGAAUCGGGGAAAGUCUUGGAGAAUCUAAGAAGCAUGGGAUGGAGAAUUCUUGGUUAUGAUUGGACCGUGGGGAUAGCUGCUAUGCAAAAUGCGGAUGAGCACACAAGGGGAAGGACUAGGGUUUGGUCCCGACUCUGGUGGAGAGCCAGUUAAAGGAAGGACUGCCAUGAUUUCGAGUCUGCCUUAGAUCUCUUGUAACAGGUGACAAGGAUUUAUUGUGCGAUCUAUUGCACUUUCAGGAUUAGAGACUAUGUCUUAGGGGUAUUUUGUAGCUGGUUUAGGGAAGAGGUUGCUUCAGCUACAUCAGUUCAACCGUGGACGAUUGAGCUGGUGAGUGUGCCAGGGUGCAAGACCCUGAGUGAUAUGAUCUCUAGAGUUCAAGAGUAGGGAUUGAGUUGGGUCAUGCUGGGAAGAGGGGAUCAGAUCAGGUACAUACAUUGGAGAGUCCUAGAUAGGUACCCAAGAGUUCAAGUAAGCUUUUAAGAGGCCCAAGAGUUCGAGUCAGCUUGCGGGAAACUGCAUGAGGGAGUUUUUCAUUUCAAGGGUUUUAGUAAGUGUAUCUUUGGGUUUGUUUCCUUGCUUGUGAUUGGAUUAUUCCUUCCAACAUUGUCAUAUACCAUUUGCAUAUCGAGAGUUACAGAGUGAUUAGCGAAGGCCGUUUUCCUGUUUGCUGGUUUGGAGCGUUCAAUGUUAUCUUAGUCUAUGGAUGAGAUCGGUUUAGGGACAUGAGCCGAAAGGUCUACGGACAGGAUUGGUGACUCGGUCGUUAUGCUUGGGUUGGCUUUUGGAAGUGCCCGGGAAAGUGGUUCACUGUUGAGAAUUUGGUAUAGACAUCGGUUAUUUAGACUUCAAGAUAUAGAUGGGGCAUCAUUUCAAGGCGUCUGAGAUUAUUAGUCUUGCUGGGAUUCGGGAAGUGUUUGUCUGAUCUUUAGGAGUAGCAUUGUCUUUGGGGAUUUGGGCCAAUAAUAGAACACUCGCACGAACAAGAAACAAGUUGUUAGGAGUUGGUUAUUAAAGAGUAAGAAGGAUUGGGAAUCCUUCAAAUCUCAUGUAUUGUGAAGACUUAGUCAAAUCUAAGUGGGGGAUAAUCGCACAAGUACUCAGGACAGGGACAGGUAUGAGACCGGGAUGGGUUUCUCGUCCUCAUCGAGGAAAAUGGUGGCCCAAAGUGGCUAUUUGGUUGUAGGUUGUGUGAGUUUGGAGUUUGGUAAAACUUUCUGUCAUGGGGAUCACCCCUUCUUGGGGGCUUGAUAACAGAAUUUGGGGAAGCAGGUCGGAACUCCAGUUAUGAAUUGAGUUCAGUUCAGGAGUUUGGUCGAGCGUGUGAUUGAUCCUGCAUGCGUUUUGAAUCAAUUAAUUAGGGGUAAGGUAUUGGGCUAUGGGAGCCGUAACAUUCACUAAUGGUUAACUAUGAUGAAAGUGUUGUAAAACUACGAGGGAGCGGUAACAUUCACUCACAGUCAGUAGUAUGGAAAGUGUUGUGAGACUACGGGGGAGCCAUAGCCUUCACAACGGCCAGAUAGUGUGGGAGAUACAGACAGGCUGCAGGGUAGUUGUGGCAUUCACAGAUUCGUUCGGAUGACUUAGGCCAGUGUGGGCCAGUUCGUAAGGUUGUGAGUAGGUGACAAUAUAAUUGGAAUCAGGGAACGGUAGGUCGAAGGAGACUGGUUGUGAUGUAAGACUUCAUUUAUUCUUGUAGCAUUCACCUUUUUGCGUCGGAUUCUGUGGCAACAGAUGGUCAGCCUAUCAUGAUCGGAUGGACCGAAUGGAUUGAAGGAGCCAUGAGUGACUGUAUAGUUAGUUCAGUUAUCGUUAGACGAUGUAUCCUUCAGAGGUGACAUAGGACUGCUAUGUGUGUUUUUGGCCUAGUAAUCGGUUAUGUGUCUGACGUCUCGAGUAGUUGAUAGAUAAGGUGAGAUCAGAGAGGUCUCGGCUGCUUUAGGAAAAGCAGCAAGUGGUAGCAAGAAGAAUCGAAGUGGGUUCAGUAACUUGGGAUCGCAUGUGGAGUUGCUUGUCAUUCGGGACAUAUACUAAGUUGGUUAUGGUUGGAAUAAAUAAUGUCAGAGGUGGAAUAGCCAGUUGGGAGAUAAAUCUAGUGAACUCGACAAUGAUUCAAUGUCGGCGAAAGACCAUCUCGAGGCUUCAGGUUUCAGAUGGAGUAAGUGCGAGCAUGUUGCAAUAAAUUCGUUCAUCUUUGAGUUUAGAACCCCGCGGGGGAUGGUUUUUGUUUCCUGGGAAGGCUGGGGUAUGCUUGUGGUUUUGGAUCAUGUCGUCCAAGUUGUCGGGCGUGUAGGGGAUGGUAAGGAACGAUUUUGCGGACGAAAUCUAAUUUAAGUGGGGGAGAGAUGUUACAUCCUGUUUAUUAAGUAAAUCAAUAGAUAAAAUUAAUGAACGAAUAGUCGCCCUAAAUCCAUAAUAUUUAGUGGAAUGUUGGUUUUAGGGAGCCGAAUGUUAUAAUUUGGAUUAUUUUGGGGUUAAAGUGAAAUUUCAAGACUUGUUUUGCAAAGGAUUUUAGAGGUCAAGGGGGUGUUUGGUAUUAUUUGGACUUAAUUUUAAGAGAUGUUGGAAGCUAAGGGAUAAAUGGUAAGUGUUAGAUUAAAGUUGAGAAUAUUUUAUGAAGGCAAGGGCUAAAAGGUAAAAUUUGGGUUCGAAUUGGCAAAGAUCUAGUGUGGAGGGCCCGAUAUUGUAAAAAUGCGUAGAAGAUUGGUGAAGCAAGGGUGAUGCCCGUCACUCCCCCUCAUGCAACCCCAUAUAUAUUUAGUGCAUUAGAAACCCUAACCCUAGGAGGGAUUUACCAACCGCCACCCUCUCCACCUUCAACCUGCUACCACCGCUGUCUAGUCGAGUUCCACCACCACGACCACUAUGACCACUUUUGUAGAAGACGAGAAGCCACGAACCCGAUGUCGUUGUUGGGGAUGAUAGGGCGACCAAGCUCGCGAGUGCUGCCGCUCACCGACUGUCUUCACAACAGAGCUUGACCGUCUUUCUUGGUUAAGGACGCGCCGCCAUCUUCACCUCUUCACUCCCGGCGCCGCUCCACCCUGACACCACCCUUCACCACCAGCGUUGCCAUAACUGUUGGAGUUGGAAGAACCGCUGCUAUGUCGAGUGUUUCUGUUGCUACCGUCCCAUGGUUGUUGAAGAUGGAGACCGACGUGGGAUGGCGUCGUUUCAGCCGGAACCACUGCCGCCGCUAACCGUUACCGUUGCGCCACUUGUGUGACUGCUGUCAUCGCCAAACGCCACCGGGUGGGUGGCUAGGUCUAUUUCGCAAGUCAAAGGUGUGUGUGUGUUGUACUUAGGUUUAUUUGGCUUGAACUCUCAAGAACAGCCACCAUGUGCCAUCGCCGGCCACCACUAGGGUGGCUGUGUGUGUAUGUUUAUAUUAGUGUGUGUGUGUUAUUGAGUUGUAAAUUGUAAAUGGUCCUGGAAUAAUAAAAAAAGAAACUCGUAACCACCACCAUGAGGUGGUGGCCGCCACCGUGAUCUGCCGUUGACCACCACUACUCGAGCUGGUAGUGGGUGGUGCCCACCUUAUGAAACCCUAAUGGGCCUUAUGAGACCCUAGUGGGCCUAAUGAAGCCCUAAUUGAUCUAAGGACUUAGUUUUGGGCCUAUUGGGCUAUUAUAUGGUUGAAAACCCGAAUUAGGGAUUAGAAAACCCUAAUUUUGGGAUUAGUGGUUUGGACUUAUCAGGACCCGCAUUUUGGACCAUUGGAGUGAAGUUGUGACUGAAGCUUGAUUUCAUUGUAUAUUUGGAAUUAAUGGAUUAAGUCAUUAAUGGGUUAAGUUGGAACACUUAACCUUGAUCGCCAUUUUAUGUGAAGAACCCUAAUUGGGUUUGGGUCCUUAUUGGGCCAUUUAUUGGACUAAGCUGCUGUGGGCCUUUGUGGGCCACAUCGACAUUCAAAUUCAUUCACUUCAUCCUACAUAACCUUGACCCAAUCAACUUCUUUCAGGGCGUCAACUAGAAGGGUCAGAUUAUGAUGAAAACAGGGAUUUCCCAUGGCAGAAAGACCAUAUGACCGUGGAGUCCCCCUCCCUACUUGUGGCUCAAGGUUUUUUUCAAUUGGAUGGGUCAGAUUAUGUUGAAAUAUUCGCUCAUGUUGCUAGACUUGAAGCAAUUCGUCUGUUUCUUGCCUUUUCUUCAUUAAGGAACUUGAAAGUAUAUCAAAUGGAUGUCAUGACUGCCUUCAUACAUGGAGAACUUCAAGAAUAAGUUUUUCUAAGGCAAUAUGGAGUUUCCAAAUCAUGUAUAUCGUCUUGAUAAAGUUGUCUAUGGUUUAAAACAGACACCAAGAGCAUGGUAUGACACAUUGGUGAGCUAUCUUCUUGAAAGUGGAUACAAAAGAGGAAAUAUUGACAACACUUUGUUCCUAAAAUACUCAGAAUAUCAUAUCAUUCUUGCUCAAGUGUAUGUUGAUGACAUCAUCUUCGGAUUCACUGAUGAGAAACUAAGUUUAGAAUUCACUGAAAUGUAACGCCUGUCCCAGGUAUUAUUUGAUUUUUCCAAGUUUUAGGGAGUUGAUGAUGGGACUCGAUGAGUUGUAUCACCGAAUCGUCGAGUGGAGGACUUUUCAUGGACGUGGGAUCUACACCCUACCCGACGAGUUGGAAGGCCAACUCGACGAGUAGCGCUCUAAGGGAAAAACCCUAAUUUUAGGGUUUACACCUUAUAUAAUCUUCUUAAGAGCCUUGAGGCCGACCUUCCCUCAACCUCCAAACCCUAAGAACGUCUGUGAUAAACCCUAAUCCCCAUUCUCUUUCAUUUUGUGGGCUAAAGUGUCUUGUGAAGCAUAAAAAGAAGGAGAUAGUGAGAAGAAGAAGAAAAUCCAGCAAACCAAGCCCUCAUUCUUGAACCUGACCAUCUUGUGGACUGUUGUAAGUCUCCAAGAUUCAAUUUUUAUCUCAGAAUAUGGGUAGAUCUUGAUUUUACUCUUCAUUUUCUUUCAUUCCUAUUGAUUGCUUGCAUUGGGUUCAUAAAGUUUGCAACUUUAUCGAUCUCCAAGGCAAAAUAGUCCCAAGGUGGGCUAGAUCUAGCUUUUAAUCAAGCAAGGAUACCAUGCAAGAGUUUUAGAGCAUAUUUUCCCCUUUUUGGCCAUUUUGACCUAGAGACAUGCAUUGGACAUGCAUGUCCAUAAAGCAUCCAUCUUUGGAACGUUUUGAGGACUACAAAAUCCUCUGGAAUGGAGGGAUUCCAGAUCCAUAAGGUUUUCGGAAUGCAUGGCAAGACUUUUGAGCUUUCCAACCUUGGAUAAGGAGCUUAGAUCAUUUGGAGUGGUUAUAGAGAGUAAAGUGGGAAACUUUAUCCUUCUGGACACCUUAUGGUUUCAGAUCUAAUCCCUAGAGUCCCUGCAUUCGGUGAAUCAUCAUAGUAAGCAAACAGGGAGGGGGACUCGAUGAGUUCCCCUAAAAAAUCGACGAGUCGGAUUGGGUUUCCCCGUCUACUAUAUAUCUAGUGAACUUGUCGAGUUGAUGAAACAACUCAAUGAGUUGGCUAGGGUGUGUUCAAGUUUUCUAGACUCGGUAGGAACUCGACGAGUUGGGGGUCAACAUAGACUGUUGACCUUGACUUUGACUAGGAUUGACCAGGUUUGACUUUGAGGGUAAUUAUGGGAUUAUGACAAGUUAAUCUUCUGAUGCUUAUAGAAAGUUGAGUUGGACCUACGCAUUGGGACUUAUUGGAUCUUAUCUGUCAGCACAACAUUCGUAAGAGGUGAGUUUUCUCACCAUACCAAUGGGUCUAAGGCACCAAGGCCAAUCCAUUUUAUGAUAUGUGGAUUCUCGGUUGAUUAUGCGCUAUGUUGGUAAGGUAUUGUAGGCUAAGACCAUGUGGGGGUUCCCGUGGCAUUUGGUAUAAGACAUUCGAGGGUUUCCAUGGUAUCCUAGUAUAUUUGCAUGAUUAGUUAUAUGAUAUUUGCUUUGUGGAAAUACCAUGUGCGGGUUCCUAUAGCAGAAAGACCAUAUAGGGGUUCCCAUGGCAGGAAGAUCAUGUGGGGGUUCCCAUGGCAGAUAGUAAGACCACGUGGAGGUUCUAAUGGCGCUAGGUCUAAGACCCCGGAGGGUUUCCAUGGCUUCCAUAUAUGUUGUAUACAUGGCUUAUGUGAUAUAUGUAGCUUUUAAUGCUAAUAUGAUAUGUGUUAUGUGGAUCGCAUGUGCGGUAUGCUCUGGGGAACUCACUAAGCAUUAGCUUACAGUUUGUGGAUUUGUUUCAGGUACUUAUGAGCCCAAGGGCAAGGGCAAGGAUUGAUGGCAUGGUGUGCACUCUCUCAGACAUUUUAUGGGACACUCUGAUGUUUUGAAAUAAAAUUGUAAUUGAUGUGGGAUUUGAAAACAAUUGUAUUUUGAUUUUAUGGUUUAUGGAAAUGUAUUUUGGUUAGUCAAAAAUGAAUUUUUUUUUUGAAAAAUUUGGUCGUUACAAGUUGGUAUCAGAGCCAUGGUUUGAGGGAUUCGGGAAGACCCUCGAGUGUGUCAUGACUCAACAUGAGGGAAUGGUAAAAUUGUUUUCAAAAUAUAAAUAAAAAAUUGGAACUUUGUAAAUAUGGAAAAGAGGAAAGUGCAACACGCAUGAUCAGCCGAGCCAAGUAAGUGUUUUCCCCAAUAUGUUAGCCAUGUAUACUGAUAUGUGAGUUAUGAUAAUUAGAUUAAGCUUGCUACGUGUAUGCUUUCUAAAUUGUAUACGGUUAGGAGCUUAUAGCCUUAGAAUGAUUGAUUUGGUCUUAUUUUCUGUUCCUCGUCUGGUUGUGGUCCUAGGGUAGAAUAUAUUAUUCCGAAGUCUAUUUGAUCCUUUUCUGUGUAUAAUUUGCAUGCAUAAGGCAACUUGUUAUGAUUGAUAUGGGUAGAGAAAAUCUUUGGACAACCUAGGAUUUGAUCUAUGCAUUAGCCUAUGAGAUACGAUUUGUUUAGGACAAAUCAGAGUUAUCAGGUAUAGCUUUGGGAAAGGUACAGGUAGGUGUGGAAGGUAGUAUUGGGCCUGUACUACCGAAAGCACAUAACCUGUAACCAAAUUAAUGUUGGACCUGGAAACUCUAAGGAGAACCGGUUUGCGAGGAUCCUCCCUAUUGAUAUCCUGAUCAUUUUAUUUUAUGAUAUUGCAGUUCAAUAUGGUGGUCACAUGAUUUAGAGGAGGAGGAUUAGGAUCGGGGUCACGAUAUGGGUUUGGGUCAGGCGACACUACUGAGUCCAUUGAAGAGAGAUUGCGUGAGCUCAUCGCAACUGAGGUUAUGAGGGGCAUCCUUGACACUACCCCAGUUAUAUUUGGUAUGGUCAAGGAGCAUAUGAUGGAGAUCAUGGAGGAGAGGCUCAGGGCAUUCUGAGACGACAUUGCUUCGGGCCAGGUCGGGGCCUGAAAAUCCCUCGUUCCGGGAGUUCAAGACGUGUGGGGCGCCAGAGUUCUUCGUGGUUAGGGACUUCAUUGUUAUCCGAUGGUGGGUGGCAGAUAUUGAGAACGCCCAAUGCACGAGUUCUUGCCCUGAGGCGACAAAUAUGGGUUUUUCUUCGUGUAUGCCGAGAGAUAGAGCCCAAGACUGGUGGGGAGAGGUGACUAGUCAGGUGGGAGCAGCCGGUGUGGCUGAGAUGACAUGGGUCGAGUUUGUUUGGAUUUUUGAUUUGGAGUUUGCACCAACGGUCGAAGUGUAACGACUAGUGAGGGAGUUUCAUGACCUGCAACAGACUACCGAGACUGUAGCGGAGAUCACAUCCAAUUUUUGGGAAUGAGCAUUGUUGAUUCCUCAAUAUGCGACCAAUGAGGACAUGAGGAGGACGAGGUAUCAUUCCAUGCUGAGGGAUGAUAUCCAGGAGUUUGUGAGCUUCACAGGGUGCAAAACCCUCAAUGAGAUGGUAGAGAAGGCCCGUGAACGGGAGAUGGAGUUGGACUUCCGCACCAAGCGGAAGCCGAAGUAGGCACAAGCAGAAGUAGGGCAGGCUAAAAAGCCUAAGACUUCAUAUUCAUCUAUUAGGGCUAGCAGGGCCGUGGCGGGUGUGCCAAGUGUGGGAGGUCUCAUGAGGGAGUUUUCCUGGGGACGAGCCUGGUAUGUUAUACGUGUGGUCAGCCAGGCCACGUGAGCAGGGGCUUCCCCAAGAAGGGCCUGAUAUGUUUCCACUGCAAUCACACUGGCCAUAAAAGGCCGAUUGUCUGAGGUUUCAGGGAGGGGGAGGGGCAGUGGUGGUGCCCGCGCCCGCCACAAUGACGAUUAUUGAUGGCCGCCCUGAUAAGGCGAAUGUUCCAGCGGUGAAGAUCCAUGCAUUUUAGCUGACUACCAAAGAGGCUCGGGUAGCGCCAGAUGUUGUGGUUGGUACGUGUUUAUUAUUCUCUGCUCUAUAUUUAUUUUUAUGACUUUUGUGUACAUGAUGUUUGUAUAGGGACCUUUUUGGUCAAUGGUAUAUCGGCACAUGUUUUGUUCGAUUCGGGAGCUACCCGAUCAUUCGUGUUUCUUGUGCUUAGCAAGAAGAUCAGGGAUGCACCGGGAACUUUGGAUUCCCCGCUCGAGGUAGAGAUUGCAGAUGGCCGUAAUGUGAGUGCUGCGAGGGUGUAUGAGGACUAUGUCCUUAAUGUGCUUGGCAAGAGGUUUCAUGUUCAUCUAGUUCCUAUACCGUUGUGAGGGUUGAAGGUGAUUAUGGGGAUGGACUGGUUGGGGGCCAAUGGGGCCAUGUUUGAUUGCGAGCGCUAAUUGGUGAGGGUUCAAACCCCAAGUGGGUGAGAACUGGGUAUACAUGGUGAGAGGGCUUCGCAGGGGCCAACUCUCUGUUCGGCUGCGAGGUCUAGGAGAUUUUUGCAGCAGGGUUGUAUGGGAUUUCUGUCCUAUAUCUCAAAUACGAGAGUUGACACCAUGACGGAUGUGGGCAGUGUUCCGAUUUUACAGGAAUUUCAAGAUGUCUUUCCCGAAGAGUUACCAGGAGUGCCUCCGGAGAGGCAGGUGGAGUUUCACAUUGAUUUGGUGCCGGGCGCCGCUCCGAUAGCGAAGGCACCAUAUCGGUUGGCACCACCCGAGAUGCAGGAGUUAUCUACGCAGCUUCAGGAGUUGCUAGACUGAGGGUUCAUCUAUCCGAGAAGUUCCCCGCGUGGAGCAUAGAUCAUUUUCAUUAAAAAGAAGGAUGGAUCACACAGGAUGUGCAUGGAUUAUCGGGAGCUGGAUAAAUUAACGACGAAGAACCGUUAUCCAUUACUAAGGAUCAAUAAUUUGUUCAACCAGCUGCAGGGUGCGUCUUGGUUUUCCAAGAUUGGUCUUAGUUUAGGAUAUCAUCAGAUGAGGAUUUGGAUAAGGAUAUACCGAAGACAUCUUUCAGGACUCGGUAUGGGCACUAUGAGUUUGUGGUGAUUCCAUUUGGGCUCAGCAAUGACCCCGCGGCGUUCAAGGAUCUCAUGAACAGAGUGUAUAGACCGAUGUUGGAUCGGUCGGUGAUCGUUUUUAUUGAUGAUAUCUUGUUCUAUUCUAUGACCAAGGAGCAACAUGACCAUCACCUGACGGUUGUAUUGGAGACUCUGAGGGUGGAGAGGCUAUAUGCCAAGUUCUCCAAGUGUGAUUUUUAGCUACGAUAGGUAUAGUUUUGGGGCUCAUCAUCAACCAGUAGGGUAUUUCGGUUGAUCCAGACAAGGUUGAGGUAGUGAUGUAGUGGGAAGUACCGGAGAAUGCUUCCGAGAUCCGUAGCUUCUUGGGUCUAGCGGGUUAGUAUCGGAGAUUCAUCCAGGAUUUCUCGAAGAUUGUUGUGCCCUUGACCCGAUUGACGAAGAAGAAUGUGACAUUUCAAUGGGGUCGAAUCAGCAGUUGGCUUUUGAGACCCUAAGACGAAGGUUAUGCGAGGAUCCGAUUCUAGUACUAGCCAAGGGGUUAGAUACUCUGGUGGUGUACUGUGACACGUCGAUUUCAAGGUUAGGUGUGGUACUGAUGCAGAGGGGCAUGCGAUAGCGUACCCCUCGAGGCAGUUGAAGCGUCAUGAGGCGAAUUACCCCUCUCAGAACGUGGAAUUGGGGGCAAUGGUGUUUGCCCUCAAGAUCUGGAGGCACUACUUGUAUGGAGUGCAAUACAUCAUCUAUACUGAUCACAAGAGUUUGAAGUAUUUGAUUGAUCCGCUGAACCUGAACAUGCCACAGAGGAGGUGGUUAGACAUGCUGAAGGAUUAUGAUUGUAAGAUCCUAUACCAUCCUGGGAAGGCCAACGUAGUCGCCGAUGCUUUGAGCCAUAAGACGGCAGGGUUCCCAAUUGGGAACAUUUGUAUGAGAAUGAUGGUGAUCUCUCCAUUAUUGGAUAUGAUUCAGGAGGCACAGGUCGAGGGAGUGAAGAAAGAGAAUUGGAAGAUAGAGCAGAUUUAGGGACAAUAUACUUUGUUUGUUAAGGAUCGUCGUUAUAUUUUGACACAGUAUGGCCGAUUGUGGGUACCAGUGACUAGAGGAGUAACAUAGAAUAUAUUAGAGGAGGCACACAAGUCCAAGUUCUUUAUACAUCUAGCGGAUAUGAAAAUGUAUAGAGACUUGAGACUGAGUUAUUGGUGGCCCCAAAUGAAGCAGGAGAUCGCCUGGUUUGUGGAGUGGUGCUUGACGUGCAGGAAUGUCAAGGCCGAGCAUCAGUGGCCUCAUGGAAAGGUUCAGCCGCUACCCAUUCCUAUGUGGAAAUGGGAAGAGAUCACUAUGGACUUCAUAAUGAAGUUACUGAGGACGACAAGGGGUGUGGACACCAUAUGGGUGAUCAUGGACAGAUUAAUGAAGAGUGCCCACUUUAUUCCAAUUUCUGAGACUAUAUUCGCCAAGAAGUUGUCAGAUAGUUAUGUGCGGGAGGUAGUGGCUAGACACGGGGUGCCAGUGUCGGUAGUCUCCGACAGAGAUGUUCAGUUUACAUCUAGGUUCUAUAAGAAGUUCCAUGAGGAACUGGGCACUUAGCUGCAUUUUAGCACGACAUACCACCCUCAGACGGAAGGCCAGACUGAGAGGACGAUCCAGUCAGUUAAGGAUAUGCUGCGAGAAUGUGUGGUUGAUUUUGGAGGGAGUUGGGAUACGUACCUCCCACUGGUAGAGUUUUCGUAUAAUAACAACUACCAUGCCAGUAUCAACUGACCACCAUUCGAGAUUUUGUAUGGUUGGAGAUGUAGGACUCCGGUUUGUUGAGGUGAGGUUGGACAUCGGGUCAUGGGGAGCACCGAGGUAGUGCUCAAGACUACCGGGCCGAUUCAGCAGGUGCGCGAUUAGCUUCGGGUCGCGCAGAGCCGACAGAAAAGUUAUGUUGACCGGCAGCGAUCGGAUCUUGAGUUUCAGGUGGGGGACUUUGUGUUACUAAAGGGGUCGCCCUGGAAGGGGGUCAUUAGCUUUCGAAAGAAGGGCAAGCUAGGACCCUGAUAUAUAGGCCUGUUCAGCAUUUCGGCCCGGGUGGGCAAGGUGGCAUAUAGCUUGGAUUUUUCGAAUGAGAUUAGCCAGAUUCACAACACCUUCCAUGUGUGGUAGCUUCAGAGGUGUGUCAUUGACAAGUCCGCAGUCGUCUCUCUGAACGACAUUUAAGUGGACGAGAGCUAAAUUAUAUUGAGAGACCAAUCGUGAUUUUGGAUGGGAAGACCAAAGUUCUUUGGAACAAGGAAGUGAAGUUGGUAAAGGUACAAUGGCAACACCAAAGGGGCUCUGAAUGGACAUGGGAGACGGAAGAUGAGAUGCGAGACCACUACCCGGACUUAUUUGGGGCGGCAGACUUCGAGGAUUAAGUAUAGUUCAAUUGGGGAGAUUUGUAACACCUGUCCCAGGUAUUAUUUGAUUUUUCCAAGUUUUAGGGAUUUCAUGAUAGGACUCGACGAGUUGUAUCACCGACUUGUCGAGUAGAGGACUUUUCAAGGAUGCAAGAUCUACACCCUACUCGAUGAGUUAGUAGGCCAACUCGAUGAGUAGGCGCUGUAAGGGAAAACUUUAAUUUUAGCAUUUGCACCCUAUAUAAUCUCCUUAAGUGCCUUGAGGCUGACCUUCCAUCAGCCUCCAAACCCUAAGAACGUUUGUGCUAAACCCUAAUCCCCAUUCUCUUUCAUUUUUUGGGGUAGAGAGUCUUGUGAUGCUUAAAAAGAAGGAGAUAGAGAAAGAAGAAGAAGAUCCAAAAAACCAAGCCCUCAUUCUUGAACUUGACCAUCUUGUGGUCUGAGGUAAGUCUCCAAGAUUUGACUUUUUUCUUAGAAUAUGGCUAGAUCUUGAGUUUACUCUUCAUUUCUUUCAUUCCUAUUGAUUGCAUGCAUGUGGUUCAUGAAGUUUGCAACUUUAUUGAUCUCCAGGGAAAAAUAGUCCCAAGGUGGGCUAGAUCUAGCUUUUGAUCAAGCAAGGAUGCCAUUCAAGAGUUUUAGAGCAUAUUUUCCCCUUUUGGCCAUUUUGACCUAGAGACAUGCAUGUCCAUAAUGCUUCCAUCUUUGGAACAUUUUGAGGACUAGAAACUCCUCCGGAAUGGAGGGAUUCCAGAUCCCUAAGGUUAUGGGAAUGCAUGGCAAGAGUUUUGUGCUUUCCAACCUUGGAUAAGGACCUUAGAGAAUUUAGAGUGGUAUAGAGAGAAAAGUGGGAAAAUUUAUCCUUCUGGACACCUUAGGGUUUCAAAUCUAAGCCCUGGAGUCCCUGCAUUCGAUGAAUCAUCAUAGUAAGCAAACAGGGAGAAGGACUCAACGAGUUUCCCUAGCUACUCGACUGUAACAACUCGGAUUUCCAGGUAUCUUUUAUGCUUAUGUUUUUGGUGUUUUGUGAGGGGACUCGGCGAGUUGGAGCUCAGACUCGUCGAGUAGGAUCGCGGUUCUGGACGCGGGUUCGCGCCUGGACUCGGCGAGUCCAGGGUAUGGACUCGGCGAGUCCGCGCUGUUUAAUGAAACCCUAAUUUCUCGGGUUUGGGACCUAUUUAAAGGGCCUUAAGGCUGUCAUUUGUACCCACCAGCCCUCUGAGUGAAACCCAAGCGAGUUUGAGCGUUUGGAGCAAAGCAAGGAGCCAUUAUUAACAUUGGAGGUGUUACAUUGCAAGGAAAAGGAAGCAAUAGCUAAGAGAAAUCAAGAGGAGCCACUUCCUGAAGAAUUGAGGUCCAGAACAUCAGAUUUGAGGUACUACCUUCGAGCUAUUCUCUGUUAUGUUGAUGUUUAUAUUGAUUUAAGGCUUAUUGAGCCUUUUGUGGCUAGAUCUAGUGCUUCCUUGGUCCCAUUAGUGACUUAGGUUCUGGAUCUGGACCCUUGGAGGUCUAGAGUGUCCCUUUGUCCCAACUUUUUAUAGAUCCAUGCGGGUUUUGGAUUGGGAUCUUUAUGCUUAAGGUCAAAACACCAUUUAUGAGCUAUGGAAUGUGUUAUGAGCACCAAGACAUGAACUUUACAUGAUGAAUAAGCUUAGGAGGGCCAGAUCUAUGAAUUGUUGGAGCGGAUCUGACCUCAGAAGCAAGUUUGAGUUGAUGCAUGGCAUGGACUCGCCGAGUCUGAAGAACAGACUCGGCGAGUAGCAUGAAGAUUGUCCUUAACCACUCAGUGAGUGGUCCAGCCGAGUUAUGGGUUGACUCAGUGAGUCAGGGAGAGUUAGAGAGGGUUGACAGGUGGAUUGAGUCGAACUGGAACUCGCCGAGUUGUUCUUGAGACUCGGCGAGUUGAGUCGGGGUGGCCCCGCGAUUCUUACCAGGUGGAACUCGUCGAGUCAGGGGAAUACUCGACGUGUCAAAAAGGGAAUCCUAGAGAGUUGGUGAAAACGUAUAGACUCGCCGAGUCGCCCUAGUGCACUCGCCGAGUCCGGUCAAAGUUGACCGUUGACCGUUGACCAGAGUUGACCAGUGUUGACUUGAUAGGGGUAGUCAACCUUAGUGGUAAAAGUGUUAAUUAAGAGACAUAUGAUGUUAUAGGAGGAUUAUAGCUCGGAGGAUCGAGCACGAGUGAUUUCCAGGAUUCGCGAGUUAUCGAGAUACUCGAGGUGAGUCUUCUCACUAUACUAUACCCGGAAGGGUUGAUUGUGUGACCGGAAGGUCGGAUAUGAUAUGAGAUAUAUGUGUUAUAUGUGAUAAGUUAAUUGUUAUAUGUGCCAUGUAUGAUAUGCUUGAUAUGGGCCGAAAGGCAUUAUGUUACGGGCCGGAAGGCGAAUAUGUUAUGGGCCGGAAGGCGUUGUAGUGUGGACCGUAAGGUUGGCGUGGGUAGGAAUGGAAGGUCUACCUAGUCGAGACGGAAGUCCCCUGAGACACAUGGACCGGAAGGUCAGGGCCUGGAAAGGCGUAUGUGCGUAGGUUGUAUUUUGGGGAACUCACUAAGCAUUUAUGCUUACAGAUUUUGUGAUAUGUGUUUCAGGUACUAGCGAGGACCGUGGGAAGGCGCCGGCGUGAUCUGUACACACUGAUGGAAGAUUUAUGAUCUUGGGAUUUAUAUGAUUGUUUUAUGACAUGAUACAUUGGAUUUUGAUGACUUAUGUGAUGGAAAUAUAUUUUAAGAAAUGAAAAUUUUGUUUUAAAUUUUCCGUUGUUACAAGUUGGUAUCAGAGCUUUGGUUUGAGGGAUUCGGGUACACCUUCGGGCCUAACUGAACUCAAACCAAGGAUUUGAGAAAAUCUUUCAAAAACAAAAUCAUGAAAUUUUUAUAAAGGAUUUUGUGGUAACCAAGGAUGAAGCAGUGUGUACGAUCAGCCAGCGCCCGAACGGUAAAAUCCCCAAAAUACCCUUACAAUAUGUGUUAUGAGAUAUGAUAUGAUACGAAAUGCAUGCUAGAAGACUAGGUACUAACUGAACUCAAACCAAGGAUUUGAGAAAAUCUUUCAAAAACAAAAUCAUGAAAUUUUUAUAAAGGAUUUUGUGGUAACCAAGGAUGAAGCAGUGUGUACGAUCAGCCAGCGCCCGAACGGUAAAAUCCCCAAAAUACCCUUACAAUAUGUGUUAUGAGAUAUGAUAUGAUACGAAAUGCAUGCUAGAAGACUAGGUAUUCAUAUUAGGACUAGAGUGGCUGAUUUGUGAUGCCUUAGUCUAGGGAAAUCUAUUGCUAUGAGAUGCUACGAGAGCGAGCGGAUAGUUAGUGCAUGGCAAGAAUAGAGUACUCAUGAUCCGAGGUUUGGGGAGGAGGACUUGGGGUGAAUGCUGAUGCGGUGAAGUCGGUAGUAUUGGGCCCGUACUACCGAAGACACCGGGUCAGUGGGCAACCCAAGUAAGAAUCCCUGGGUAUCGUAGACUGAGUAGGGUUGAGUUAUCAAGUACGAUUAUGCUCGAUAGAGUCUCUAAUAUUUCUAUGUUGUAUUUCAGAGGCAUCAUGGUUGGACCGCGCCACAGACCUAGUACGAGCAGUGUGAGUGACGAGGAGAUUCGUUAGAUGAUUCAUGAGGAGGUGGCUGCAGCGAUCCGGGCUGAGAUUUCGGAGAUGUUUGGGUCUAUUAAGACCACUCUGAUGGACACAUUUGAUGAGCGGUAUGCCGCGUUGACUGAGGCUGCAGCCGCUGCAGCUACCACAGCUGUGGCCGCUACCAGACCACAUGAGGUGACUCGUUGCUAUUUCGGGAGUUCAGCAACACGAAACCACCUGAGUUUGACGGGACGCAGGAUCCGAUCGCUGCGAUGAGAAGGAUUGCUGAUAUCGAGGGAUGCUUUUACACUUGUUCAUGUCCGGAGGAUCUGAGGGUACGGUUCGCCUUGAACCAGCUCCGCCUGGGAGCAAAGGAUUGGUGGAAGUUCGUGAUGGCAAACUUCACUCUGGCAGAGGUUUCAGCUGUGACAUGGGAGAGGUUUACCACUAUGUUCAAAGACGAGUACGUUCCCCCGGUGGAGAGGGAAUGGUUGGUUCAGGAGUUCUUGACCCUCAAGCAGGGUAUUGAUUCUGUCACGGUGAUCACGCAGAAGUUUCAUGAGAGGGCGAUGUUCUGCCCCGAGCAGGUGUCCACGGAGUAGGCUCGGAUGAGCCGGUAUUUGGGUGUGUUGAGGAGGGAUACCCGGGAGUUCGUAUCGAACUCGACAUAUCAGACUUUUGCUGAGCUUUAGGAGAAUGCCAGGAAGCGCGAGAUCGAGUUGGAGACCCAGGCCAGGGAGGAGGCCGAGUCUCAACGGGUGGAUCGGCGGCCGGCUCAGUCUCAGCCGACAACCAAGUGGACUAAGUCCGCCGAUUCGAGGUCGGGAGGUCAGAAGGGCCGCACUUGCGGAAAGUGCGGCAAGGGACACGAGGGGAUAUGUCGAUCAGGUGCUUGCUACAAGUGUGGCAAGGAGGGGCACAUUGCUAGGGAUUGCCCCAAGGGGUUUAUGGUUUGCUUUCAUUGCAACCAGACCGGCCAUCGGAAGGCCGAGUGCCCUCAGCUUCUCCAGGGAUCCGCACCUGCUGCUAGGGCUGCUGAGACUCGACCAGUGAAGGCCGAGGCCCUGAGGGCUUGCGGGAGAGCGUUCGAGUUGACUACGGAGGAGGUCCGCGCGGCGCCUGAUGUUGUGGCUGGUAUGUAUUCUUUCAUGUAUUUAUUAUUCUUUUAUGAGAUGUUGUGCUUAUGUCAUGUUAUGCGUAGGUACUUUUCUUGUGAAUUCUGUACCUGCUUUAGUAUUAUUUGACUCGGGUGCGAGUCGGUCUUUCGUAUCUCUGGCUUUUAGUCAGCAUCUCGGUAUUGAUCGGGAAGUGAUGAGUCGACCUUUGAGGGUUUCCAUAACUGAUGAGAAAGUGAUAUAUGCUACAGACGUGAUUCGAGGAUGUGUGCUCGAGAUUUUCGGUGUCGAAUUCCCUAUAGAUUUGGUUCCUAUAGCGAUGGGGGAUGUUUGCGUUAUCAUGGGCAUGGACUGGUUGAGUAAGUUUGGGGCAGUUAUUGACUGCGAGGGUCAGCGGGUGACGAUUCGAGACCCUAGUGGGGGAGUGCUUACGGUGCAUGGCGAGAGGACCCGGUGUGGGUUGGCGUUUUGUUCGACUGCCAGGGCGAGGCAGAGUUUGCAGCAGGGCUGCAAAGGAUUCAUAGCCUACGUGACGGAUACUCGAGUGGCCGCGAGGAGGCCCAAUUCAGUUGAUGACGUUCCUAUUGUACGCGAGUUUUCGGAUGUGUUCCCCGAAGAGUUACCAGGUGUGCCUCCGGAAAGGCAAGUGCAGUUCCGUAUCGAUUUUGUUCCGGGAGCGGCGCCCAUCGCCAAGGCGCCUUAUCGUCUCGCUCCACCGGAAAUGCAGGAGUUAUCCUCGCAGCUUCAGGAGCUGUUGGGGAAGGGGUUUAUCCGACUGAGUAACUCACCUUGGGGAGCGCCGAUUUUGUUCGUCAAGAAAAAGGAUGGUUCACACCGAAUGUGUAUCGAUUACCGGGAGUUGAACAAGUUGACAGUUAAGAACCGGUGUCCGUUACCUAGGAUCGACGAUCUGUUCGAUCAGUUGCAGGGGGCAUCUUGGUUCUCCAAGAUAGACUUGAGGUCGGGUUAUCAUCAGAUGAGGGUUAAGAUAUUCAGAAGACUGCUUUCAGAACUCGUUAUGGACAUUAUGAGUUUGUGGUGAUGCCUUUUGGGCUCACCAAUGCCCCAGCUGUGUUCAUGGAUCUCAUGAACAGGGUGUGCAGGCCGAUGUUGGAUCAGUCGGUGAUCGUAUUCAUUGAUGAUAUUCUGGUAUAUACGAGGUCUAGGGAGCAGCACGAGGAACAUUUGAGGGAGAUUCUUGGAGUUCUGAGAUCGGAGAGGCUAUAUGCCAAAUUCUCCAAGUGUUAUUUCUGGUUACGAGAGGUCCAGUUCCUAGGGCACCUCGUUAACCAGAAAGGGAUUUUGGUCGAUCCGGCCAAGAUAGAGGCGGUGAUGAGAUGGGAAGUGCCGAGAUCGCCCACCGAGAUCAGGAGCUUUUUGGGUUUGGCUGGAUAUUAUCACAGGUUUAUCAAGGAUUUCUCCAAGAUCGCCAUGCCACUUACUAGGAUGACCCGGAAGGGUGUUGCAUAUUCGUGGGGACCGGAGCAACAGUCCUCAUUCAAGACCCUUCGCCAGAAAUUGUGCGAGGCUCCGGUGCUUGCACUCCCGGAAGGGAUGGAGGAUUUUGUGGUGUAUUGUGAUGCCUCUAUAUCGGGAUUAGGGGCGGUGCUUAUGCAGAGGGGGUAUGUGAUAGCAUAUGCUUCGAGGUAGUUGAAGCCUCAUGAGUCGAGAUAUCCCACCCAUGACCUAGAAUUGGGGGCUGUGGUGUUUGCCCUCAAGAUCUGGCGGCAUUAUCUUUAUGGGGUUCAGUGUACCAUCUACACGGACCACAAGAGUCUGAAGUACUUGAUGGAUCAGCCAAACUUGAAUAUGCAGCAGAGGAGAUGGUUGGAUGUGGUAAAUGAUUACGAUUGUGAGAUCCUGUACCACCCGAGUAAGGCUAAUGUGGUGGCCUACGCGUUGAGCCGUAGGGCGGAAAGCGCCCCGAUCCGAGAUAUUUGUAUGAGGUUGACGGUGAUGACCCCGAUUUUAGAUGCUAUUCGUGGGGCACAGGCCGAGGCUGUGCAACCUGAGAUGUAGAAGAGGGAACGGGUUGUUGGUUUGGUAUCAGGAUUCGUUAUGGAUGGUCGAGGGCUUAUGACAUUUCAGGGGCGUAUCUGGGUGCCGUUUGUGGGAGGAACGCGUACCACAUUGAUGGAGGAGGCUCAUCGGUCGAAAUUUUCGAUCCAUCUGGGGGCCACAAAGAUGUAUUUGGAUUUGAGAAAGGAAUAUUGGUGGCCCUGUAUGAAGAGGGACGUCGCGUGGUUUGUUGAGAGGUGCUUGACCUACCGUAGGGUUAAGGCCGAGCACCAGAGGCCGCAUGGCAAGUUACAGCCAUUGGAGGUUCCCGAGUGGAAGUGGGAAC